rnacentral:lncRNA from 1 species
ACCAUGCUGGGUCAGGUCAAGUAUAUACCAAAUAAGUUAUGGACUUAGACACCUUAUCCAACAGACUCCCACUUGGAUAAGUCUAAUAACUGUAUUUGCCUAUAUUACUUCAGGAACCAACCGACAAUCUUAGCUCUCGAAAACUUUGUUGAACUAUGAAGCGUCAUUUUGGAUAAGUGAUCAUAUAAUCCUUUGUUCUCAUGAUAUCAGCCGGACAAAAACAUGGAACAAUGUCUUGCUUAUUGUCUAGCAGUUGUUUCCCAAUUUCCGAUUUGUUUGACAAAGAACUUAACUAAACACAUCACUUUAGUUCUGACUGGGCCUGGUACAUGGGUCAACACAAAAUCAUCGAGGGGCCCAGAUAUCGCUUCUAUUUCUAGAAGGAACAGAUAAACUUCGACUCAUAUGCUUGUUCUACUACUUGUUGAAUUGCACACAAAGGCACGUUUUAUAACAUCAAGUUACUGAUGCGUUUUCAUGCAAUCAAUGCACAAACAACUCAUAGGUAACAACUCAUAUCUCUAGGUUUGAAGACUUAUAUGAUAUUAUCAUCUCACGCUCACUCGAGAUAAAUUCCAUGAAGUGAUACAAGUGAGGGUGGGUUUAUUCCAAUACUCAUAACUUAUGAGUAAUCAUGAAUGUUGUAGCAACCAUUGCUAUGUCUAAACGCCUUUUGCCAUCUACAAACCCAAUUCAUGACAAUCUUGAUUCAUACCUACUUCCGACGUAUGACUGAUUGUGGAGGUUUGGAUGAAUUAAUUAUUCUGGAAGUCAAAACAUGCAAAACCGAAACAAUAGUAAAUAAUUGACAAUGAUAGCAACACUUUACUCAUAAAUAAAUCACAAAUUUUAUUCAUCAUUAAAUGUCAAUUAUAUUUGAAAAGUUUAAGAAAUGGCUAUCUAAUCUGUAAAACUAAUAUCAUCCCUCAGCCCGACGCGCCUCGCAUGUUGCAAAUGCUUAACCCUCGUCAGUCCCUUCGUAAGGGGAUCUGCAGGGUUCUCAUCUGACGAUACCCUCUUUUCCACAAGGAGUCCUUGUUCUAUCUUGUGUCUUAUGAAGUGAUAUUUUAUGUCAAUGUGUCGGGAUCUGCCAUGAUCUCUCGGUUCCUUGGCUAAGGCAACUGCAUUAUUNUGGUUCCUUGGCUAAGGCAACCGCACUAUUGUUGUCACAGAAAAUCUCCAUAGGUUCCUUAAUAGCUGGUACAACUCCAAGGUCUCCGAUGAAGUUCUUCAGCCAUAUCGCCUCCUUCGCUGCUUCACUCGCUGCUAUAUACUCUGAUUCACAAGUCGAAUCAGCCACCGUCUCCUGCUUGGAACUCUUCCAAGAAAUUGCCCCUCCAUUUAAGGUAAAGACCCAGCCCGACUGAGAGAGGAAGUUAUCCCUAUCAGUCUGAAAACUAGCAUCACUAUACCCUAAUACUCUCAAGUCAUCACUCCCACCAAGGGUAAGGAUCCAAUCCUUAGUCCUCCGCAAGUACUUGAGAAUGUUCUUUACCGCGGUCCAAUGAGCCUUCCCAGGGUUCCCCUGAUAUCUGUUGACCAUGCUCAAAGCAAAGGCUACAUCAGAGCGGGUACAAGUCAUAGCAUACAUGAUCAAGCCCACAUCAGAAGCAUACGGUAAUCGACUCAUCUCUGCUAUCUCAGCCUCUGUACUUGGACUUUGAGUCUUACACAGUUUGGCAUUGCUUUGGAUCGGUAAAUCUCCUUUCUUGGAAUUCUACAUGUUGAACCUUUUCAACACCUUAUCCAAGUAGGUACUCUGACUAAGUCCAAUUAGUCUUUUACUCCUUUCUCUUAAUAUCCUUAUCCCUAGGAUAUAGGCAGCUUCCCCUAGGUCCUUCAUAGCAAAGCACUUCCCAAGCCAGGAGUUAACCUCCUGUAAGGUUGGGAUGUCAUUUCCUAUAAUUAGUAUGUCAUCUAGAUACAGUACCAAGAAGAUAACUAUACUCCCACUAGCUCUAACAUACACGCAAGACUCAUUUUCACUUCUCGAGAAGCCAAACUCUUUGACCUUUUCAUCGAAACAAAGAUUCUAGCUACGAGAUGUUUGUUUUAAUCCAUAAAUGGAUUUCUAAAGCUUGCACACUCUAUUAGGGUAUUCUGCACUGACAAAACCCUCUGGCUGAUUCAUGUACACAUCCUCAGCUAACUUUCCAUUAAGAAAAAUGAUUUUGACAUCCAUUUGCCAUAUUUCAUAAUCGUGAAAUGCAGCAAUGGCUAGCAUAACCCUAAUAGACUUAAUCUUUGCUACCGGUGAGAAGGUUUCAUCGUAAUCAAUACCUUGAGUCUGAGUAAAACUCUUCGCAACCAGUCGAGCCUUAUAAGUGUGCACUUUUCCUUCCAUGUCGGUCUUCUUCUUGAAGAUCCAUUUGCACCCAACUGUUUUACGGCCUGGUACAUUGUCAACCAAGUUCCAAACUUGACUGUCAUACAUGGGUUGUAUCUCUCUGUCCAUAGCCUCCUUCCAUUUAGCAGACUCCGGGCCUGCCAUGGCUUCCUUAACGCUACUAGGUUCAUCCAAAUUUACUAGUGUACUAUCGCUGAUAAAUGUAUCACUUUCCGUAGUAAUAUGAAAACCUUAAUAAAAGUCAGGUGUGUUCCUAACCCGUGUGGAACGCCUCGGAGGUACAGACUCGUCAGCUGGCUCAACAGGAGUUUCCUCCUCAGGUUGAUUGCUAGUGUCUGAGGUUCCUUCACCAAUUGAUUCUUGAACUUCUUCAAGGUCAAUUUGCAUCCCACUGUCUCCUUGGCUUAUAAAAUCUCUCUCACAAAAGACCCCUCUUUUGGCUACAAAGACCACAUUCUCACUGGGUCUAUAGAAGAAGUAACCGAAGGAUUUCUUUGGGUAGCCGAUGAAAAUACACCUUUCACUUCGGGGUUUGAUCUUAUCAUGAGUCUCACGCCUCACGAAAGCGUCGCAACCCCAAAUCUUGAUGUGGUUCAAAUUGGGAACCUUCCCAGUCCACAUCUCAUGAAGUGUUUUGGUAACCUUCUUUGUAGGCAUUAGAUUAAGGAUAUGGGCGGUAGUCUCAAAGGCAUAACCCCAAAAAGAGAUUGGUAGCGAAGCUCGACUCAUCAUAGAGCGAACCAUGUCUAACAAUGUUCGAUUACGCCUCUCAGCUACACCAUUUAGCUAUGGUGUCCUAGGAGGAGUCAAUUGUGAGAUAAUCCCACACUCCUUAAGAUAGUCAAGGAACUCGGUACUAAGAUACUCACCACCUCGAUCGGAUCGAAGCAUCUUAAUGUUCCUACCCAAUUGAUUUUCAACUUCCUGUUUAAAUUCUUUAAACCUUUCAAAGGUUUCUAACUUAUGUUUGAUUAAGUAGACAUAAUCAUAUCUACUAAAAUCGUCAAUAAAAGUCACAUAAUACCGAUUAGCAUCCCUUGUGGCAGUUUUGAAUGGUCCACAUACUGAUGGGUUUUAGCCAUAAGAACUUUCCUAUGUGCGCAUGCAAAACCCUAAUGCUUGGAUCUAGGCUUUCUAAUAAACAUGCUUUGAAUCCAAGACUUCUAAUUACUAAUUAGGUUAAAUAACAACAUUGAAACAGAUCUAGAAUCAUACCUUUGAGUUCCUUGUUGAUCUUGAGGUCUUGGAGCUUCUAGAGUCACAAAUGUCACUCCUCUAAUGGCUUACAAACACCAAAGCAAGGAGGAUGAUUUGGGAGAGAGGAGAGGGGAGGAAUUCGACCAGAGUUCUCUUGCUUUUUCAGAAGUGUCGAAUUCCCUAUGCCAUGGGGUCUAUUUAUACUUGUAGACUCCUUAAGGAUUACAGAUAAGUCCCUAUCAGAUAAUCUUCUCUUAAGGCUAUCCAAAUCCAUUCCUAGAUAACUCUAAUGGACGAUUUUAGCUAUCCUAAUCCUCUUAGAAUUCGUCCAUAGCAUAUCCAAAUGGAUUUACAGUCUAAAGCUUAACUAUCAAACAAUUGACAGUUUAUACCCCUUUAUUUAAUUAAUCUCUUUAAGUCACCAAAUUAAUUCUAAUUAAUUCUAUGACUUAUAUUAAUCAAAUAACAAAUAUAUUAUUCAUUAUAUUAUUCUCAUAAUAUAUUAAUAAUAUUUACUCUCUCUUAAUAAAUCAUCCUAUCAAGUUGCUAUGGUGAAGGCAACCCAAAAGGACCAUGCACAACCGGAUCAAAUACUUGCCUAAUAUAGUUACAGCCUUAGACACUAUUCCAACAGUCUCCCACUUGGAUAAGUCUAGUAACUAUACAAGUACAAUUCGGUUUGCAAUCGUAGCUCUCAAAGACGCUGUCAACUCUGAUCUAAUCAAUCUUGUCCUUUAGAUAAGGGAACGUACAGUCCUCUGUUAGAUAUCAUGCUGACAAUCCUAUGGAAUGGUUAGUCAAGCAUUUAGGUUUCUCGAUCUCUGAUUUAUUUGACAUAGAACUUAAUCGAACACAUCAAUUCAGUUCUGACCGGGCCCGGCACAUAAGUCAAAUCAAAUCAUCGAGCGGCCGAGAUAUCGCUUUUACCUUCUUAGAUAAAAGUUACAGAUAAACUUCGACUUAUAUGCAUUUACUUAUUCAUUAACCAACUAUACACAACAAUACGUUUUAUAACACCAAGUUACUGAUGCGUUUUCGUAUUAUCAAUGUACAAUCAAUUAACAAAUAAUAAACCAUAUAUCUAGGUUUUAAGACUAUAUGAUAUUAUCGUCUUGCGAUCACCUUUUAUAUCGUAUUCCAUAAGGUGAUUCCAGCAAGCGCGGGUUUAUUCCAAUGCUCAAAACUAGUUCAUAAGCACUCAUGAACGUUGCAGCAAUCCUUUGCUAUGUCUAACACCAUUUAGACAUUCUACACACCAAUUCAUGACAAUCUUCAUUCAUAUCUACUCCCAACAUAUGAACGAUUGUGGACCAUUUGAACAAUUCGAUUAUUCCUAAUAAACUCAAUUAUUCUGGAAGUCAAAACAUGCAAAGUGAAACAAUAGCUAAACAAUUAACAUAAGAUAGUAACAUUACUCAUAAAUAAAACUCCUUUAUUUAAUCAUCAAAUGUUAAUUACAUUUAUCUAUUACACGUUUCUAAUACUAUCUAAUCUAUGCUAAUAUCAUCCUUCAGCCCAAUACUCCUAGCAUGCUGCAAGUGCUUAACCCUACUCAGUCCCUUCGUAAGCGGAUCUGCUGGGUUAUCUUCUGAUGAUAUCCUCUUCACUACGAGUUGUCCUUCUUCUACACGAUGUCUGAUGAAGUGAUAUUUUCUGUCGAUAUGUCUUGAUCUACCAUGAUCCCUCGGUUCCUUGGUCAAGGCAACCGCUCCUUCGUUAUCACAGAAAAUCUCCAUGGGCUCCUUUAUGGCAGGUACAACUCCAAGAUCACCGAUGAAGUUCUUUAGCCAUAUUGCCUCCUUCGACGCUUCGCUCGCUGCAAUGUACUCUGAUUCGCACGUUGAAUCAGCUACGGUUUCCUGCUUGGAACUCUUCCAUGUCACUGCUCCUCCAUUUAGGGUAAAGACCCAGCCCGACUGCGAACGGUAGUUGUCCCUGUCGGUCUGAAAACUGGCGUCACUAUACCCUCGCACCUUCAAGUCAUCACUCCCUCCGAGGACUAAGAACCAUUCCUUCGUCCUCCGAAGGUACUUAAGGAUAUUCUUCACCGCAAUCCAAUGUGCUUUGCCAGGAUUCCCUUGAUAUCUGCUAACCAUGCUCAAAGCGAAGGCUACAUCAGGGCGAGUACAAGUCAUAGCGUACAUGAUUGAGCCAACUGCGGAAGCGUAUGGUACUCGGCUCAUUUCUGCUAUCUCAGCUUCGGUACUCGGACUUUGAGUCUUACUCAAUUUGGCAUUACUUUGUAUCGGUAGUUCUCCCUUCUUUGAGUUUUCCAUACUAAAACGUUUUAGUACCUUCUCUAAGUAAGUAUUCUGACUAAGUCCAAUUAGUCUCUUACUUCUUUCUCUUACUAUCCUUAUUCCCAAAAUGUAAGAAGCCUCUCCGAGGUCCUUCAUAGCGAAGCACUUCCCGAGCCAGGACUUAACCUCCUGCAGAGUCGGGAUGUCGUUUCCUAUGAGUAAUAUGUCAUCGACAUAUAGAACGAGGAAGCUUACUAUACUCCCACUGGCUUUGACAUAUACACAAGAUUCGUCUUCGCUUCGUACAAAUCCAAACUCUUUGACUUUCUCAUCGAAGCAAAGAUUCCAUCUGCGAGACGCUUGCUUAAGUCCAUAAAUGGACUUCUCAAGCUUACACACUCUAUUCGGAUGCUUCGGAUCCACAAACCCCUCUGGCUGAGCCAUGUAAACAUCCUCAGCCAACUUUCCGUUAAGGAAAGCGGUCUUGACAUCCAUUUGCCAAAUCUCAUAAUCAUGAAAUGCGGCAAUUGCUAGCAUCACUCUAAUAGAUUUAAUCUUCGCAACUGGUGAGAAGGUCUCAUCAUAGUCAACUCCGGGAGUUUGAGUAAAGCCCUUCGCAACCAAUCGCGCUUUAUAUGUGUGUACGUUUCCAUCCACGUCGGUCUUCUUCUUGAAGAUCCAUUUGCACCCAACGGUCUUACGUCCGGGCACAUAAUCAACCAAAUUCCAAACUUGGUUAUCAUACAUGGAUUGGAUCUCGCUAUCCAUUGCCUCUUUCCAUUUUGCAGACUCCGGGCCUGCCAUGGCUUCCUUAUAGCUAUUAGGUUCAUCAAGAUUUACUAGUGUACCAUCACUAAUAUACGUGUCCCCUUCGGUAGUAAUAUGAAAGCCAUAAAACUGGGGAUGAACUCUAACUCUAUCGGAACGUCUAAGAGGUAAGGAUUCGUCAAUCGGUUCAACCGGAGUUUCCUCCUCGGGUUGAGUGCCAGCGGUAGAGGUUCCUUCAUCUAUCGACUCUUGAAUCUCUUCAAGUUCGAUUUGCCUCCCACUGUCUCCUUGGCUUAUGAGUUCUCGCUCUCGGAAAACUCCUCUCCUCGCAACGAAGACAACAUUGUCCUUCGGUCUAUAGAAGAGAUAUCCAAAGGAUGUCUGCGGGUAGCCGAUGAAAAUACAUCGCUCACUUCGAGGUUCAAGCUUGUCGUGAGUAUCUCGUCUUACGAAAGCCUCGCAACCCCAAACCUUGAUAUGUGCCAACGAGGGAGCUUUCCCUGUCCACAUCUCGUGAGGUGUUUUGGCAACCUUCUUAGUAGGGACUCGGUUAAGGAUAUGGGCGGCAGUCUCUAAGGCAUACCCCCAAAAAGAGAUUGGUAGUGAAGCACGACUCAUCAUAGAGCGAACCAUAUCCAAUAAGGUUCGAUUACGCCUUUCUGCCACACCAUUCAACUGCGGUGUCCUAGGAGGCGUCAAUUGUGAAACUAUUCCACACUCCUUGAGAUAAUCGUGGAAUUCAAGACUUAGGUACUCUCCUCCUCGAUCGGAUCGAAGCAUCUUGAUUUUCCUGCCCAAUUGAUUCUCCACUUCAUUCUUGAACUCUUUGAACUUUUCAAAGGUGUCUGACUUUUGCUUGAUUAAGUAGAUAUACCCAUAUCUACUAUAGUCAUCGGUAAAAGUCACAUAGAAGCGGUUCCCAUCCUUCGUGGUUGAUCUAAACGGUCCACAUACAUCGGUAUGUAUUAGGUCCAAUAGACCCUCGCCCCUUUCACAUGUACUCGUGAAGGGUGACUUAGUCAUCUUUCCAAGCAAACAAGACUCGCAUGUGUCAUCUUCCCUAAGGUCGAAUGACUCCAACACUCCAUCCUUUUGGAGUUGGGCUAUGCGUUUCUUGUUGACAUGUCCAAGACGACAAUGCCACAAGGAUGCUUUAUCCAUACUAGUGGAAGAAUCAAUAUUCAAAACAUCAUUUCCUAAGUUAUCAACAAUCAUAACGGUUUCAUAUAUUCCAUUACAUGGUAUAGCUUCAAAGUAAAAGACACCAUUUAGAUAAGCCAAAAUAGAACCAUUCUCAUUAUUAAAAGAAAAUCUAAAUCCUUGUCUAUAUAAACCAUGAAAUGAAAUGAUGUUUCUUGCCAUUUCUGGCGAAUAGCAACAAUUGUUCAAAUCUAAAACUAAACUAUUCCUAAGCACUAAGGAAUACACUCCAAUCUUGGUCACAGGCGACGAUCUUCUGUUCCCCAUGAUUAGAUUGAUCCUUCCUUGCUCCACAUCCCUACUUCUUCUUAGUCCCUGCACAUUAGAACAAAUGUGAUAACCACAACCGGUAUCAAGAACCCAAGAAAUAGCAUGAUUAGAAUCGUUAGAUUUGAUUGUAUAUAUACCUGCGAAAGAUGGCUUGAUCUUUCCUUCUUUGAUUGCUUGCAGGUAAUCCGGGCAGCUUCUCUUCCAAUGUCCUAUCUUGUGGCAGUGGUGGCACUCUGCCUCCUUCGGGUUAGAGCAGGGCUUAGCGGGAUCAACUUUGGUCCCACUAGAAGAGGCACCAUCUCGGGCUUUCACCUUGCGAUAGUUCUUCGAUGAAGCUUUCCUCUUCUUUCCCUUCCCUUGUCCAAUAGCCAAGACAGGAGCAGCGGGCGGAUUGGGAGUAGGUGCAACAGACUUGUCUUUGAAGUUGCUCUCAGCAACCCUCAAGAGACCUUGGAGCUUGCUUAGGGUGACCUCUUCUUUGUUCAUGUGGUAGGUCAUCCUAAAUUGAUUGUACAUCGGAGGCAAAGAGUGAAGCACCAUGUCGAUCGCCAAAUCCUCACCGAAGUCAACAUUUAACUUGCGAAGGCGGUCGACAUACCUUUGCAUCUUUUGCAAGUGCACGGUAAGAGAUUCUCCAUGACCCAUCUUCGCGGAAAUCAUGUUAGUGAAAAUCUCGUACCUCUCUUGUCUCGCGUUUUGGUGGUACCUCUCCAAUAAGUCUUGGUGCAUCUCGUACGGGUACAUGUCCUCGUAGGACUUUUGGAAUUCGGAGUUCAUGGUGGCGAUCAUGAUGCAAUGUACCUUCGUUGCAUCUCGCUCAUGAGUUUCAAAGGCGGUGAUUUCGGCGGGAGUAGCAAUUUCGGGGUUGAUUUUCUCGAGCUUCUCAUCGAGGACAUACUCCUUAUCCUCAUAGCGAGCAAUGGUGCGAAUGUAUCUUAUCCAUUCGCUAAAGUUCGUUCCAUCGAAGGUGACCUUUUGGCAAAGGCUCAUCAACGUGAAAGAACUAGCAGCAGCGUUGUUUGCGUUCGACAUCUACAAUUAGAAAAGGACAAAGAUAGAUUAGAAUAAGAAUCCCUAAUUAUCACCCAAUAAGAAAAUUAGGGCUAGGAUCCAACAAUAACAUUUACAUACUAGAAAAGGGAUGCCGUAAUCUAACAUGCAAAUAAAUUGAAGGUAAGUGAAUGACGAUUCACUAAUUCUCCAUCACAAAACUUAAACUAUUAGUCCUAAGUGUUUUUGAGAAUUCCUAGGUUCGGAUGAGAUUCAUUGAAACUAUUCAAUGGCAUGUUUAAAUCUCGAUAUGCCCCUCUUGUUUGUGACUGGGAUGCCGAGGAUCACAAAGCGGGUGUGAAUUACCAUGCAAAUUCACAUGGUGCCUUCAUUGUAACGAUCACCUAUUCGAUGUGCCGGUAAACCACACACGCUCCAUCGAACUAUGAUAAACAAUGAAUCACCCUUUGCCACCUUCGCUUAGAACCAAUUAGUGUGCCGGUAAACCACACACGCUCCACUAACAUCUUAGCAAGGUGCAAAGUGUAAUUUCAUGGGAUUGCAUCAAUUCACUUUUCCUAAAGUAACUAGGAUUGGGAAAUUUUAAAAAUAUGUGUAGUUACUUUAUAUUUCUUAUUAUACUUUUAAUGAGAGGAUGAGGUUGCCCUAUCCUACCCGUUCGGCUAACGACCCUCCACCAAUCAAGCAAGCGGUGGGUGUGAGUGUACACCCAUUAAGCGCCAUUUUAUAGGCCGCAACCUUAUACCCACCUUAUAGAUCGGCUUCGUGAAUGAGGCCUACUAACGGUAAGACUAGCAUUUAGUUAUACAUAUAUAUAUUAUUCUAGUAAUAUCAUAUUAGUAUAGGGUUGUAUUUUAAAACUUUUAAAAUCUAGGGUUUGAAAUUUAAGUUGUCUAAAUUAAAACUUUUAAUCACAAAAGUAAAUUUCAAAACAUGAGGGUAGGUUUUAAACAUUUAAAACAUGGAGGAUCAAAUAACAAAUAAUUCCAAUUAACAAUUAAUAUCCUAAUUAUCUAUAUUUGAUUUAUUCAAGAUUUCUUUUUAAGAUAAUUACCAAAAUAAUUAAAAUAAUUAAUUAAUUAUCAUAUAAGGAAAUUAAAUAUUUAAUUAGUUGAUAAAUAUCUUUUUCUAGAUCAAGAUAAUAGUCAUAUAUAUCAUAAAAUCGGAUUUAGGUUGAUCUAUUAUGAUUAAGGUAAGUUUCCAUAAGAUAAACACAAAGAAAUCCCGAAUCUGGUCAUUCCUGACGCCUGGACUCGCCGAGUGCACAAGGGGACUCGCCGAGUCAGGCCUACUCGCCGAGUCCACCUUGGGACUCGCCGAGUCAGUGACUCAGAAACCUAAAAAUCGAAUUUUGCAGGUUUGUUUCAGUUAAUCAAGCAACAAUUUAAAGAAAACCAAGCUAGGCUCUGAUACCACUGAUGGGUUUUAGCCAUAAGAACUUUCCUAUGUGCGCAUGCAAAACCCUAAUGCUUGGAUCUAGGCUUUCUAAUAAACAUGCUUUGAAUCCAAGACUUCUAAUGACUAAUUAGGUUAAAUAACAACAUUGAAACAGAUCUAGAAUCAUACCUUUGAGUUCCUUGUUGAUCUUGAGGUCUUGGAGCUUCUAGAGUCACAAAUGUCACUCCUCUAAUGGCUUACAAACACCAAUAGCAAGAAGAAUGAUUUAGGAGAGAGGAGAGGGAGGAAUUUCGACCAGGGUUCUCUUACUUAAUCAGAGGUGUCGAAUUCCCUAUGCCAUGGGGUCUAUUUAUACUUGUAGACUCCUUAAGGGUUACAACCUAAACCCUAAUUGGAUAAUCUUCUCUUAAGGCUAUCCAAAUCCAUUCCAUAGAUAAGCAUAUGGACGAUUUUAGCUAUCUAAAAGCUCUUAGAAUUCGUCCAAGGCAUAUCCUAAUGGAUUUACAUUCUAAAGCUUAACUAUCAAACAAUUGACAGUUUAUACCCCUUUAUUUAAUUAAUCUCUUUAAGUCACCAAAUUAAUUCUAAUUAAUUCUAUGACUUAUAUUAAUCAAAUAACAAAUAUAUUAUUCAUUAUAUUAUUCUUAUAAUAUAUUAAUAAUAUUUACUCUCUCUUAAUAAAUCAUCCUAUCAAGUUGCUAUGGUGAAGGCAACCCAAAAGGACCAUGCACAACCGGGCCAAAUACUUGCCUAAUAUAGUUGCAGCCUUAGACACUAUUCCAACACAUACAUCAUUAUGUAUUAGGUCCAACAAACCCUCACCCCGUUCACAAGUACUGGUGAAGGGUGAUUUUGUCAUCUUUCCAAGUAGACAAGAUUCACAACUAUCAUCCGAUUUAAGGUUGAAUGAUUCCAAGACUCCAUCCUUUUGGAGUUGGCCUAUGCGUUUCUUGUUUACAUGUCCAAGACGACAAUGCCACAAUGAUGCUUUAUCUAGGCUAGUAGAAGAAUCAAUAUACAAUACAUUAUUUCUUAAUAUGCUGAUGAAACAAGGAAUCGAGUAUGUAAUCAGAGUUUAAAAUGAUCAAAAAGUAAGUAUGUGCGAUUUGAACACCGAUGUAAAUAUGAUUUCUGGUUCAGCUCUAUUAUGCUCUCAAGUUUUACAGAGUACAAAAUAAGAUUUCUGUAAAAGUCACUUUCUAACUCUAGUAAACACUCCUAUUUAUAGGAGAGGAAAGCGUACAAAAAAUAUUCUAAGUACUAAGCAUUAAGCUUCGAAUACAAUGCCUUAUAAAAAAUACAUUACAUAUGAAACGAAGACUAGUACAUACGAAGACAUGAAAUACUUCGACUAAUUACAACAAAAUUCACCGUUACAAUCUCCCCCUUUGUAAUCAUAGUCGAAGUCUUCAAUUGGUAAGAAUUUGAAUUGAGUACAACAUGACUCUAUAUACCAGUUUAUAAUCUUCUUCAACUCCUUCUUUUCUCCCUCAUUAUUCUUCUUGCAAUGGUUCAUACAAACAACUAAGUUCGUAUAUUACGAAGUCAAAUAUCUUUCUACUUUCAGCAGCUUGAAACAAAAAUUUCCUCGACCUUCCCGACUUGUCCUUCCCAUAAAAGACUAACCCAAAAGGUUUCAAGCACAUUUCCCCAUCAACAUAUUUUUUAUGUUCUACUUGAGUCUUCGAAGGAUUCAUGCGAGCACUUAUUUCAAGACCCUUUGCUGUAGCCAACUCCACAUCUGUCAUUGCCAGCCAUUCAUAAUAAUUUUCAAUGAAGAUUUUGAUGUGAGUCACUCCUAGCUUAAACUCAUCUGGAUCAGUAUUUUGCAAAUAAGAAAAUGAUAUUUCCUUCAGAAUUACUGCAACUUGUAUAUGAUCAUACAAGUUUAUCAAUGGAAAGUCAGCCAAUGUAAAUUCACACACUUAUUCAUCCGUCCUUACCACCACAUACUUGAGAUUUUGGACUGUGUCUUCGAAGACCACAUCCUUCUUUAUACUUAUCACUUUCUAGAUCUUCGUUAACGACCACACCUCCUCAGCAGGCUUUGCAAGAACAGCAUGAAAUCUGAUCUUCAUGUGUGUCCCUUCGUCCCACUCUUUGAAUUUGCUCUCAACUUUGUAUUUUGGCAUGAUAAACAUCAUUUCGUUUAUAGGGAAAUCCAACUGUCAUGCAUAUGUGUUUGAAACAAUGUAGCUAUGUUUGGGCUUUUUCUCAAAUGCGUACAUGUGAUUGAAUGCAACUUUGGCUUCAAUCGUUUCAUAGUUGUAAUGCUUCGUUGGAUCACCCUUGUUCAAGCCAGGAGGGUCACUGUCCCUUUGAGUCAUGAUACUUUGGAUCAUUCUCAUUUUUUCAACCUCAGCCUCAACCUCUGUCUUCUUUUCCUCCUUAGAUUUCUCAAUUAAAAUUCCUUUACCUUUUGAUUUUGCACCAGAUUCAUCAACAUUUUCUUUUUGCUUAGAACCACUUCCUCCAACAUCAGUAGAUUUACCAAUCACAAUUCCUUUCGGUCUGGUGAUUGGCACAGUUGUCACAGCUAUCGAAGUGAUUGGACCAGCUGUUGCAAUGACUAGUUUGGUUGAUGAAAUAUUUGUAGAAAACACUUUCCCCACCACCUUCGAAUCUCCUCCAGCGUUCGACCCUGCCAUUAUUUUUUCUCCCCCUUGCACCCCUGUGCUAGUAGGUGGGGCAUAAGUAGUUGGAAGAAGACUGGAGGUGCGUGAUAAAGGAGCUGGUUAUUUGACUAGUAAUUCUUCGAACAUAGAAAAUUUCUGGCUCAAAUCUUCCGAAGAUAGUAUGGACGAAGUAGGCUUGGAAGAGAGACUUUUAAGCUCUUUCAAAAGUUUGAAUACCUCCAUGAAAUUUUUAUUGUCAGUAGUUGAAAGCUGAGUAAUCUGAGGACUCAGACUUUCGUAUAGCUUUGCAAACUUUGUAAAAACUUCACAAAUAAUAUCCACCUUCUUAUUGAUGGAUUCAAAUUCACUUCGAACAACAAAAAUUUCCUUCUCCAUUUCUUCUCGUAACUACUGAAUUUUGAAAUUUACGUCUUCUCGCACCUUCUUUACUUCUUGAACGAAUAGCAAAAUUAGACUUCUGUGAAUUUACUCGUAACUCAUUAUUUUGAUCAGAAAGAUCAAUCUUUCCCAAUAAUCGAGACUCGGAAUCUUUAAGCAUGCUAGAAACUUUAGAAGUCAACCUCCCUUUAAGCAACGACAGCAUGCCAUCAACUUCCAGACUAGACACAACAUGACCUCCCCCAAGAUCAACUUGAGAUUGAAUAAUCGAAUUGAGCUUCGUAUUCAAAAUCUUGAAUUGUUUCAUCGUUAUAAGCAUAUGAUCAGGGAAGGCAGUUUCCUAUUCGUCAAACACUAGAUUUUCAAAGGUACCCCCAAAACCUUCGGAUUCAUUUUCAGUCUCCAAGAACGAAUCUUUCAGUGGAGAGGUAGUGGUAGGUGGAUCAGUUGAUUGUGAAGAAAAGAGAGUUGUGAAUGGGUGUGAAAUAAUGUGAGUAAAUGUUGAAGAAUCUAUGGUAGAUGUUAUAGGAAUGAUAAGGGUAAUCUGUGAAGGUAAAGAAAUGAAAGAUUCUAAAACCACAUUCGAAAUGUUACCUUUAGUUGCAAUAUUCGUAUCAUCCUCACCCAUUAUGACAUUUGUAUUCAUAUCAGAUAUGUUUACAGGGAUGUCUGAAGUUCGAGCCUCCACAGUAACUGUCUUGCCAAUCGAAACUUUGGGUGAUUGGGUAACAGAAAUAUCGGCUUUAGAAGAUUCAGUUAUAAGAACUGCUUCUAGUGUCUCUGGGAUAAUUUUUGUCUCAUCAGCUAUAGAAUCAGAAGAUAAAAUCAACUUAUGCUUCUUCUUCUUGGAAAUAUGCUUGGCCAUAUCAACAACCAUUCUCUUCUUCGAUGAUGGAGAAACAGGGGCAGGUAUUUCUCUAAAAACACCCCUUGAUGAGAAACUUGAUGUAUACGAACUACAUUCGUAACUGAUGAUCGUCGCUUGCUCUUCGACUUCAUCUUGAUUCGUCUGAAUACACCAGUUUUCGAAGGAAUUAAUUCCUUUUCAAUUACUUUGAGGACUUGACUUUUGUAGCCAAAGACCCAACAUCAGUUGUCUUUUAGUUCUCUGACUUCUUUUCAGUUGUCUGUGGUAAGAGAAUCCCAAUUUCCACAGAGGUAUCUAUGGUUGCCAAGUAAGAAACCAAGACUAGGUUCGAAGGAUCAAUUCUUUUUAACAUGGCGUCUGGGAUAUGAGCAGCAAACGAAAAUUCAUCUAAAUCAUCCGUUGCAUCCUUCGGAAAACUAUAGGUGUGAAACAUAGCCUUCUCCUCGUCUGCUGGAACUAAGAUACCUUCUUUGUCAUAAAAAUGUUGCAAAAUCAAGCUCCAAUAUCUAGCACACGAAAUGUCAUGACCAACAUUCGUGUUCUCGUUACUCUUUUGAAAUUUCUUCCACAGUUGUGUUGAAUAAUCAACCUGGAGAUCAUAAUACAACUCUGCAACCAUGGCGUACACCUCCAUUCUUCCCUUAUUGAGUCCAACCGUUCUGCUAGUCAAACAGCGAAGAAAAAUCCCAAAUGGAAAAAUUCUAUACACAUGGAAGCCCUGACUUCUUGAAAUCACUAAUUUUUGUUAACUGGGGUUGAGGACCCAUUUCGUUGAACAUGUGGACAAUUUGAGGAAAUGUGAAAGUAACAUAUGGUGGAGAAUUUGGGAUAUCAAGAAUUUUGCAGAAAAGCAUAUGUGGCAAUCUAACCUUUUUAUCAUUGAUUAGGUUAAAUGUAACAACAUUCAAACCUUUUGAAUACAUGGCAAUUGAUCCUGCUUGUGAUAACCAGGAGAGAGGAACUGAGAAGGAGUUGAACAUCGCUUUUGAUACCAUGGAGUUUUGCAGAGCAACUAUCAACAUUUUAAGUUCUUCAGGAUACAGUGACACAUUGGAUUCCACCUGAUAAUUGGUACCCUGAAUCUUCAUAAUUGGCAAAGAAGUAACAUUAUCUGUUGUGUGAGAAGGUUCAGCAGUAACGUUUGCAACAUUUGCCAUUUUUAGGGUUUGGAAGUAGAUGAUGAACAAAGAGUAUUUGAAGAUCAGAGAGUAUUUGGAAUGAUGAAAGCGUAAACUGAUUGUUAACACUUGGAUCCCCUUUUAUAUGUAACUCUUAAAUUUGAAUUCAAAGAGGGAUAUGCCUUGAAUGCGUGCUGACGUGUCACCAAGAAAAGCGCAUCAUGAUGAUGAUAAAGUUACCAUGCAUCAAAAAGUAACUGUCACAUCGCCUUGAAAAUCGGAAGGAAUACAAAACGUCUCCUUAAACAGCCUAUAUUUAUUGACCCAAUGGAAUUGUAAUCAUCAGAACCCUUCGGAUGGAGGUUAGGCCUUUUACUUUUGGAUUUCAAAGUAAAGUCAUUUGCCAUAUUUUCGAAAUCAUCAGCCUGAGUUGGUGUUACUCAGAAUCUCAAGGAUUUCAUGUGUGCAUUGUUUCAAAGGAUUAAGAUACGAAGCUAAUAAUUUUUUUUUGGAUAUUUGUGAUGUCAAAAAUUAAUUUGACACAAAGGCAGUUAAACCCCAGACAAAGGUUGCUUUGUUAAUUAUCAAGAGAGAUAAUCAACAGCUUGUGUAUGUCCCCGUGAAAUACAAUCGAAAAAUUAUAGAUAAGUUUCGAAUGGCAUUUUUUUUGUAAGGCUACAUGGGUGGCUAAAAAAAAUUCAUUACAUAUCAGCCUUAACAUAAGGUGAGUAAUUGUAACAGAAAUUACUUGUUUGACCAGUGUAGUCAGCGACAAGUGUGCUUUGACAAAUAUUUAAGGUAACUUUGGUAUUCGAAGUAAACUCACACAAAAAUUAUAUUGAUGAAAAAAAAUUGUGCUAGAUCUUGAUGGGUAACAAAUUUCGUGGGUUUCGAAAAUUUGAUCAAGACCACUCAUACGAAAUGAAUAUGAUUUGGAGUUUUGAAAAUUGGUACUGAAACAAAAGUUUCGUGAAACCUGGAACAUGGUUCCCCGUCAAUUCCUUAAUUUUGAAAGAAAUUUGGGUUUCACUUUCAUCACGGUCUCAUGACGUCCGAUCAUUAACACAAAUUUGUGAUAUAUCUAGAUUUCGAUUAGUAUUGAUCAGGAACCUCAUGGAUAUAUGUCUUUGUGUGUGCAAGUGUAAGAAUUUUAUGAUGAAAAAGAUUGGUUCCAUAGAAAGAAUGUACCUCUGUUAUGUUGGACCAAACAGAAAACUCUUAACUCAUAUGAGAAGCGUAAGGUAGCUCAUUGGACUAAUGUGAAUGUAAGCCUUAUUGGGAAGAAAUCUUCGUAUGAAAAUUUUCAUUAAGGCUUUGGAACAUUGAGUCAAUUCGAGGUUUGGACAACAUGCAGCACCAUGCUUCUAGGGACAUCUAAACUAGUUUUUAAAAAUUUGAAAUUCAAAGAGUAGAAAUUUGUACCUGACCCUAGAAACAUUUGUCUCUUCAUCUCUUCAAGAAUAUCUACAACAAAGUACUUAAAAAAAUAAAAUCUUUUUGUUGUUUUUAAUUUUUCGAAAAGAAAGAACAAAAUAGAAUGAAAAUCUUAAUGAUGUUUUGAAUUUUCGAAAAUAAAAAGAAAACAAAACAAAAUACACAAAAGUUACUUGUUGUAGAUCUUCGAAGUUUUAAGAUGAGAUGAAAGAUACCAAUCAUACGAAUUCGAAGCAUUCGAAGAGUGACUUAUGAACAGUAGCCUUAUCCGUUGAUGACGUUUCUGUGAACCUUCAAUCUCCUUUUUUGUAUGAAAUUGAAUUACCAUCAACCAUUCCAAGUCCUUCCAGAAUCCUUACAAAUGAUUUUUCAUCCAAUGCUUUCGUGAAAAUAUCAGCCAAUUGAUUAGUAGUUUUCACAAAAUGAACUUCAAUAUUCCCAUCUUCUACAUGAUCUUUUAUGAAGUGAUAAAGAAGAACAUUGUGUUUGCUCUUCGAAUGCUGCACAGGAUUAUGACAAAUUCUUAUUGCACUUUGUGAAUCACAAUAUAAAUGAAUCUUUUUUAUGUUAAUUGCAUAAUCACGUAAUUGACUUUGAAUCCAUAUUAUCUGUGAUGUGCAAGCAGCAGCAGCAACAUAUUCAGCUUCAGCUGUUGAGAUAGAAACAGAUGUCUGCUUUUUCGAUUGCCAGCUUACCAAUUUACCAUCAAGUAAUUGACAACCACCACUUGUACUUUUCCUGUCAAGAUUACGUCCUCCCAAAUCUGCAUCCGAAUAUGCUUGAAUAAAAAAUCCAGUAUUCGAAGGGUACCACAAUCCAUGCGAAGAUGUUCCUUUGAGAUAACGAAAAAUAUUAUUUACAGCAGUAAGAUGUGGUUCUCGUGGAUUUGAUUGAUACCUAGCACAAUUACAAACAGAAAACAUGAUAUCAGGUCUACUAGCAGUUAAAUAAAGUAAACAUCCAAUCAUGCUUCUAUAUAGAGUAAGAUAAACGGCAGGUUUAUCUAACGAAGGAGUGAGUUUAAUGCCAGUUGCCAUUGGAACACGUAAGUUUGUGCUAUUCAUCAAGCCAAACUUUUCGAGCUGAUUCUUCGUGUAUUUUCCUUGUUUUAUGAAAAUUCGUUCUCUGUUUUGACGAAUGUUUAAACCAAGAAAAUUAUUAAUUUUUCCCAUCAUGCUCAUUUCAAACUUACUCUUCAUCAGAUCUUCGAAUUCUUUAAACAAAACAGGGUCAGCAGAGCCAAAAAUAAUGUCAUCAACAUAAAUUUGAACAAGCAUUAGAUGAUCCCCAACUUUCAUACGAAAUAAUGUGGGAUCAACUGAUCCUUGUUUAAAUUUAGAUUGCUUCAAAAAUGAAGUAAGAGUUGCAUACCAGGCUUGAUGUGCUUGUCUUAACCCAUAAAAUGACUUAUCUAAGAUAUAAACAUAAUCAAGAUGUUCUUCGUUUAAAAAACCUGGAGGUUGUUCCACAUAAACAGUUUCUUCGAGUUCUCCAUUCAGAAACGCACACUUCACAACCAUUUGAUAUACAUCAAAAUAUUUGAACUGCCUCGAGUCUUGCAAUAGGGGCAAAAGUUCUUCGUAAUCAAUUCCUUCUUGUUGAGAAUAUCCUUUAACAACAAGUCUGGUUUUGUUUCGAACAAUAUUUCCAUCUUUGUCAGUUUUAUUUUUGAAAAUCCAUUUUAAUCCGACAAUCGAAACAUCAUUUGGCUUAGGAAUUAACCUCCAAACCUUAUUUCGUUCAAAUUCAGAAAAUUCAAAUUGCAUCGCAACAACCCAAUCUGAGUAUUCCAUUGCAAUCUUAACUAUUUUUAGCUCAAUUUUAGAGAUAAAAACGUUGAACAUACAAAAUUCUUGAUGAACAUUUAAUACCCCAUUCUUCGCACGAAUUUGAGCUCUUGUUAAAACCCCUUCUUGUUGAUUACCAAUUAUUUGCCCCUUCGGAUGAUCAUUUGUCCAUAUGUCCAUUGGUGGAUAGGUUGGAUCGAGGUCCAAAGGUACAUCUUCGUACAUUUCUUCAUUUUUAGAUCCUGCAAUCGAACAAACAUCCUUAAUAUCAUGAUAAGUUUCAUCAUUUUGAUAUAACUCCCCCUCGAUAUUAUCAUAUAAUUGUUCCCCUUCAACAUCAUCACAUUCUCUCUCAUUCUCCCCCUCAAAAGAAUGCUCCCCCUCAAUUAGAGUGUUCGAAUCCAAGUGCUCCCCCUCCACUGGAUCAUCAUGCACACUUUCGCCCAUUUCUUGAGGAGAUGAUGUUGAAUCAUCAAUUAGUUUUGAAAUUUCAAUGACAUGAUUAUCAGGAGCAUUACAUUAAGCAUUUGCAACAUUAUCUGAAUUUCCAAAAAUCAAAUCAUAAUCAAUAUCUAAUGAUUGUAUAUCUUCAGAUUCAUUUUGAUUUUCUUGUAAUAUUGGAUGAUUAUCAAAAUGUUUAUCAGAUUGUUUGAUAUAAUAAUCAUCAAAAGUAUGAUUAAAUGUUUCCUCCACUUUUCGAGUUCGUUUGUUGAGCACACAAUAGGCAACAGAAUUAUGCGAAUAGCCAAAGAAAAUCCCUUCACCAGCUUUCGCUUGAAAUUUCGAAAGAGUAUCCUUAAGAUUCAUAAUAAAGCACAUGCAUCCGAAAACAUGGAAAAAUUUCACAUUAGGUUUUCUGUUAUUGAUGAUUUCAUAUGGAGUAAUAUUAAAAUGUCGUUGAAUGAAAGAUCGAUUCGGAGUAAAACAUGUAGUUGAAAUUGCUUCAGCCCAAAGAUAUUGUGGAAGAUUCGCAUAAGCCAACAUUGUUCUUGCAGCUUCGCAUAGAGAUCGAUUUCUUCGCUCAACAACACCAUUUUGUUGUGGUGUAUAUGGAGAUGAAAAAUUAUGUGAAAUGCCUUUAUCCAACAAAAAUGAAUUAAGAAUAUUGUUCUUAAACUCAGUUCCAUGAUCACUCUUUAUCCUUCGAACCGUCUAUUUCAGCGUUUUUUCCAUUUGCUUGAUAAAGUCAAUCAUGAUUUGAUCAACUUCCGAUUUAAGCCUGAGAAAAUAAACCCACGUAUAUCUUGAAACAUCAUCAACACUAACUAAGAUAUAUCGUUUAUGAUUAAAUGUUGAAACUAUCGAAGGACCACAUAAAUCAAUAUGUAAAUGCUCCAGUGGUUCAACAUUCGAAUCAAUUGUGAUUGGAUGACCUUGUUUAUGUUGCUUGCCAACUUCACAAGCUGCACAUAAAGAAUCAUUAUGAAAUUUAGGUACAGGUAAGCCUCUUAUCAAAUCUUUAACAACAAGUUUAUUGAUGUUACGAAAGUUAAGAUGUGAAAGUCUUCGAUGCCAUAACCAGCUCAGAUCAGAUGUCGCUUUCGAAAGAAGACAAACAAUAGGUUUGCCUACAAUCAGAUUGAUAUCCAAUGCAAACAUAUCACCAUUCCUCUUUGAUUUAACCAAAACUUCUUUAGUGUCGACAUGUGAAAUAAUGCUGCCCUCUUCGUUAAAAGGUACUUGAUUUCCAGUUCCCACAACAAGUUGAGAGACACUUAUUAAGUUAUGUUGUAAACCUUCAACAUACGCAACUCAAUUUAAUAUGAAUUUACCAUUCAUGGUCUUCCCAUAUCCUUUUACUUCACACUUCUGAUUGUUUCCAAAUUUAACAACUCCUGCAUUUUUCAAGCUUCGAAAAUCUCUAAGAUUCUCCUUCUUCCCAGUCAUGUGACGAGAGCAACCACUGUCAAUGUACCAUUUAUUAUCGUAUUGAUCGUCACAAAGUACCUUCAAUCAUUGAAAGAAUUUAGGUACCCAAGGCUUUUUAGGUCCUUGGAAAUUAGAUGUCAACAAAGAAUUAAAUCAAGAAUGUUUGGCCCAGUCACAAAAUCUAGUCUUGAGACUAUCAAUAAUGUCUACAUCAUCAUUUGAAGGAAUUAAAACAUAAGAUUUUGUCUGUUUCGAGUGCACACUAAUUUUACCCUUCGCAUUCUGAGAUUGUGACGGAACUGUCUUUGUUUUUGUGACUGGUCUCCAAGCUUUGAUGGAAAUAUCCGAAUCUUUUGAUGAUGAACUUCCAUUCGAAGAAGUAUUAACAUACUUUUCAUAAGCUUCUUUGAUUUGUUCUUCUGAGAAUUUGCUAGACUGAUAAACUUUACCUCGUCCUUCGAGCCAGUGAUCUAUAUUUUUCCCUGAAGUUAUGCCUUUUGCAUACGAAGCCUUUAAUGUUUGUUUCUUCGUAAGAUUAGGAAAAUUUGGCUUUUGAGGAAUAAAAUAGACUUUUGGUUUAGUAAGAAAAGAUUCAGUGUAAGAAGUAUUCACAGUUGUUUUAAAGUGUUGUCUUUGAGAAAAUAUCUUUGGAUUAUUAGAUUUUUCUGAAAAUUUCUUUGAAACAUUAGGUUUUGACUCUUUUGAAAUCUUUUGAGUAGAUUGGUUCUCUGACUUUGAGCAAGUUGAUGAAGACGAACCUUGUUUUUCUUUUGAAAGAGAGUUUUUCACUUUAUAAACAAAUUUUGGCGAAUUUGAGUCAAACACACUUUUUUUAUUUGAUUUAACAUCUUCUUUUUGUCUGAAAAAUGUUCUGAAUUCAUAAACUUAACUGAUUUUGACUUCUCAUGUUUCAAUUUUUGAGAUUCAAUUGUUUGCCAAAAGAUUUUCUUUCUUGCUUGUCUUUUUGAAAUGUUAUUUUCUUUUGAAAGUUUGACAAUCUGUUCCUUGAAUUCAUUAGAAUUAAGUGUUGAUCCAUUUUUAAUUUCCUCAACCAUAGGCUUAAUGACUUCGUUUUCAACUUUAGAUUUUUCAACCCAUUUUAUCUUUAGUUUUUGUCUUUGAAAAACAUACGAAUUCUUGGUUAGAUUGUUUUCAAUUGUGCUCUAAUUUGCAAAGAACCCUUCAUCUGAUGAGUUUAAGUUAUCUUGUUCCACCAUUUCCUUGAAUUCCGGUUUAAUAUUUUAAAAUUUCCAGUUGUUACAAAGACUUGGUUUGGAAAAACAACAUCAUCAGAACACUUGAAGAUUGGGUAAACCACAGUAUUCAUUUCUAAGAAAUGAGCCCCUUUCUCAGUUAACACUUUUUUGAAUUGUUGUGUAUCUCCAUAUACUUGAUCAACAACUAUACAAGGAAUUUCUUCUUCCUUUAAAACUUCCUUUUACUUCAUUUGUUUCUCUUCUUUUUCAUCAUCACUAUCAUCUGUUUGAUUGUCUUUGACUUCUACAAAGUUCACAUCACACACUUUCGAAGUUGAUGGUUGAUCAGUGUCAAACUAAACCAACAAUUCCUUAACUUUUUCUUUUCCUUUAAAUGAUGAUGCAACAUUUAUAAUAGUCAACUGAGAACAAUCAACAUCCUCAAGAUCACUAAUUUCACUAAUAUUAUCAGAAUUAUCCUCAAUAUCAUCAAAAUUGGAUUGAAAAUCAGAUGUUGAAUUCUCAGUCUUUUUCAACAUGUUAACUUGUUCAGACUUAGUCAAAGUUUAAUUUACAAUGUUAACCAAUUCAUUUGAAUCAAGACAUACAACUACUUUAACUAUUCCGUAUCUAUAUCUAUCAUCAGGAACUUUGUUAAAAUCAGCAAUUUCUUUAUCACAAUCAUAUGAAAUAUUAUCUACUGUAGCUCUUUCGUAAGCUAAAAAAUACAGUAAUUUUCUAUGUUGUUCUUUGCUGAUUUCGCAUGCAUGAUGUAGUUCAGUCAAUUUUCCAUACAAUCUUUAGCUGAAUUACAAUUAAUGUUCCUCUAGGCUAACAACAGUUUAGAAUCACUCGAAAAGAUAUCUCUAUCAACCAUGAUAUUAGUUAUUUGAUGUUCUAAACAAUCUAUUCUAGCAAUUUUCGAAUCUACUUUCUUCUAUGUCUCUAACAAUUGAACAGACAGCUUCUUAGCCUUAUUGCUAGCAAAUACCACAAUUGAAUCAAAAUAAAUAACAGUUUCAUCAAAGGAUAUUAAUUCAGAAUUAUAAACAUGUACUGGAAUAUUAAAAUAUUGAAGAAUGUUAUGUACCUUUGUAGUCAUUGGAGAUUUGUCAGCAGCUUUUGAUAUGAAGCAUCCCCCAUGAACUCCGUAUGCUUCUUCAUCUGAUUCUUCCUCCAACUUCGCAUACAUUGCUCCGUGGGUCGAAUGUCUCAUCUCUUCAUCAUCUGAUUCAGAUGACCAAAUUUGAUAAGUUCCAUCUUCUUUUUGUUCACCAUAGGCAACUAAUGAGAGAUUUUUUUCCUUCGUACACAACUCCUCCAACUUUUCCACAUAGUAUGCUUCAUCCUUCAUUUUAUUCUCCUUCUCAUCUCUAUUCCUUAACAUGCAAUCACUGGCUAAAUGAUUAGCCUCGUUGCAAUAGUGACAAUCAAUUCCAACAUCUCCUUUCAGUUUCUUCUCAGUUUUUCCUUCAACAAACUUCGUAUCUUUCUUUUCUUCCUUUUUCUUCUUAUCCCCAGCACUUUUAGUCACAUUAUUUCCUUUACAUUCAGAAGACUUUCCCUUCGGAUUGAACGACUUUUUAAACAAAAUUUUUCACACGAUUGUUAGAAUAAAAAGCAAUUGCCUCAUCAUCUGAGUUCAUGAUGAAUCCUUCGUCUUCAUCAGAAACAUCAUUAUCUGCUUCUCUUUCAGAAAUCUUCGAAACCAAAGCUAGUGGACCUCCCAAACUUGCCUUUGAACAAGUCAUUCAAAGUUGACGUAUCAAAGCUCUGUUGAUUUUUAACCAUCAUGCUCACACUACGCCAUUCCUUUCGAAGACCCAUAACAAAUAUAAGAUUGAAUUCCAUGGCUGAUCUGGUGAUUCCGUAUCGAUUGCAUCGAUAGAUUAGUUAUUAGGACGAUCGUAAUAAACCUCAAUUAUUUCAUCAUCUUUCUGUCUGAAUUCCUUAAGUUCCACCAAGCAUUGUUUUACAAAAUUAACUUUUGUCUUUUCACUCCCCUGAAAUUUCUCCUUGAGAUUGUUCCAAAUCUCCUUUGUUGUUGUACAACUACUUACGUAGUUGUAAACAACAGGAGGCAAAGCUUCUCUUAGCUCUCUCAUGCAUCUCUUCUCCAGUUUUUCAAGACAAUUAGAUUGAUUCUCUACCUCAGAAUUUCCAAAAUAUGCACCAAUUGGUUGAACAUUUGAUGGUGGAUUGCGAUCACCAGAAAUACAGUUCCACAACUCUUCAUCCAAACCAUUAAGAUAAUCCUGCAUAUGAUCAGCCAAUUGAUCGUAAUACUCACAAAUUAGCAAAGGAAUAUAAGUGGAUAAACCUAAAAUAUGAGAGAAUGAAGUCAUGGAAUUAAGAUUAAAAGACGCCAUUGAUGUACGGAAGAAAACCUUGAGAAUUUUUGAAAAAACUUUUAGAAUUUGACAACAAACUAUAUGAUUCAAAUCAGUUGAACUAGUAGAACACUCGACUCAAUGAUUCAAGUGUAGAAUCGAAUCACAAACUUAGAUCCAGUGAAUUUUUCACUUUCAAAAAGUGCGGAAUUUCUUAAACCAAAAAUUUGAUUUAAAAACUUUUGAAAAGAUGAAAAGCAGAGAGUAAUGAUUCCUGCUCUGAUACCAAUUGAUGAAGCAAGGAAUCGAGUUUGUAAUCAGAGUUUAAAAUGAUCAAAAAGUAAGUAUGUGAGAUUUGAACACGGAUGUAAAUAUGAUUUAUGGUUCAGCUCUAUUAUGCUCUCAAGUUUUACAGAGUACAAAAUAAGAUUUCUGUAAAAGUCACUUUCUAACUCCAGUAAACACUCCUAUUUAUAGGAGAGGAAAGCGUACAAAAAAUAUUCUAAGGACUAAGCAUUAAGCUUCGAAUACAAUGCCUUAGAAAAAAUACAUUACAUAUGAAAUGAAUACUAGUACAUACGAAGACAUGAAAUACUUCGACUAAUUACAACAAAAUUCACCCUUACAAUUGUCUACAACCGACACAGUUUCAUACACACCAUCACAAGGUAAUGCUUUAAAAUAAAACACAUUAUUAAAGAAAGAAUUAAUACCUCCACAUUCAUUAUCAAAUGAAAAGGUAAAACCUUGUUUGUACAAACCAUGAAAAGAAAUAAUAUUUCUUGCCAUUUCAAACGAGUACACACAUUUAUUCAAAUCUAAUUUUAACCCAUUAUUCAGCAACAAAGUAUAAACUCCAAUCUUGGAAACAGGCGUAGCCUUCCUAUUCCCCAUGAUCAAGUUUAUCUUCCCGUGCUCCACAUCCUCACUUCUUCUUAGGCCCUGCAAAUUUGAACAUAUGUGAAUACCACAUCCUGUAUCAAGCACCCAAGAGUUAGAAUAUGGUGAGUUAUUAGACAAUAUUGUGUAAAUACCUGUGUGGGCGGGUUUCACUUUCCCAUCCAUUAGAUCAUGCAAGUAGUUAGGGCAGUUUCGCUUCCAGUGCCCCUUGUCCUGGCAAUAGUAGCAAUCAGCAUCCUUGGGAAUGGCAGAAGGAGUGACAUAACUGCUUUUGGUCCUUGAUGAGGAGCCUUCAAGAGAAAUUCCCUUGGUACCCUUCGAAGGGUUCUUCCUCUUUUUCCCUUUGCCUUGCCCGAUAGCCAAAACCAGGGUAGAUGUUGGAGUAGGAGUAGUAAAGGUAACAACCGACUUACCCUUAAGACCGGUUUCAGCGGUCUUCAGGAGUCCUUGAAGUUUGCUAAGAGUAACUUCCUCCUUGUUCAUAUGAUAUGUCAUACGAAAUUGGUCAUAACAAGAAGGUAAGCAGUACAAAAUGAUGUCAAUUUCCAGAUCCUCAGGGAAGUUCACAUUUAGCUUGAGCAAACGGUCCAUAUACCUUUGCAUCUUUUGCAUGUGGCCCGUGAUGGAUUCACCAUCCUUAAUGCGGUUUGUUAUCAUGGAGGAGAUUACUUCAUACCGCUCCUGACGAGCACUCUGAUGGUACUUUUCCAUCAGGUCGUGGUGCAUCUCAAAAAGGUAGAAGUCCUCAUAGGACUUUUGGAGCUCGACUGUCAUCGUGGCCAUCAUGAUGCAUGCUACCUUAGUAGCAUCUCUCUCAUCCGUCCUGAAUUCAACAAUCUCCUCAGGAGUAGCAGUGGACUCAUCAAGAUCCUUUAACUCCUUAUCGAGGAGGUAUUCAUUGUCCUCAAAACGAGUAACCAUCCUGAUUUUCCUAAUCCAAUCCAUGAAGUUGGAACCAUCGAAGAUGACUCUACCACAAAGAUUCAUGAGAGAGAAAGAGCCAGUUGGGUUAGAGCCCGAAGCAUUUUUGUUGGAAGACAUAUGAAAAGAAGAAAGCAAGUUUAGAUUAGAUAUAUAGAGUCCUUAAUAAGACACCCGAAUAUAAUAUUAAAGGUAGGAUCCGAUCACAAUAUAUUAUACUUAAAAUAGGGAUGCCGUAAUAUAAGUAAUAACAUAUUUGAAAGGUAGGUGAAUGACGAUUCACCAAUUUCCACCAUCAAAAACGAAAUGAAUUAUUAGGUUUUAAUUGGAUUUGAAAUUCCUAGAUUCUUUUGAGAUUCAAUGAACUUUUCAAUGGCAUGUUUCAAUCUCGAUUGUGCCCUUCAAGUUUUGUGACUGGGACGCCGAGGAUCACAAAACAAGGUGUGAAUAACCAUACUAAUUCACUUGGUACCCUUAAUAUUAUCACCUAAUCAAUGUGUCGGUUAACCACACACACUCCGUUGAUCUAUGACAAACAUUAAGUCACCCUUCGUGAUCCUUACUAGUCCAAGUUAGUGUGCCGGUCAACCACACACGCUCCACUAACGACUUGGUAAGGUACAAAGUGUGAAUCCCAUGGGCUAGCACCAUGUUCACAUUUUUCCUAAAGUAACUAAGAUUGGGAAUUAAAAUAUUUAGUUACUUUAUAAUAAUCAUUAUACUAUUAAUGAGAAUUUAAAGUCAUUAUCCUACCCGUUCGGCUAACGACCCUCCACCGAUCAAGGAAACGGUGGGUGAGAGUUGUCACACCCUAAAACCGAGAACGGCGGAAACGUUCUUGGGCGGAGGACGUCAUGUAAAGUAUCACAAUACAGUAUAAUAACAAACAAGUAAACAACAUCAUCCAUUGCAUUAAAUAUAUAAUUUUAAUACAACUGUGUUCUGUACAGUUAUAGACACCAAAAAAUGCAUCAAAAUAGAGAUGAGUCUUGCACGCGCUCCAUCUUCUCAAAAGCUGGCCUCGGUACCUGUCUACUGAUGACCUAAGAAUACAAGUUAUUUUGAAAGAAUUUAUCAACAUUAAAGCUCAUGAGUUCAUAAGUAUUUAGUGUUAAUGUUUGUAUCAAAAUGUUUGAACAUUGUUUAAAGUACGAGUUUGUAAACGUUUUCAAUAAAAGUAUGUGAAUGUUUGUAAGUGUUUGUAAAUGAUUGUGACUCCUAGAAAAUCCUAUAUUUUCUACUAAAAGUAGCAUUCUACUAAGGCACAACUGUUUUGUAUGUUUGUUUCUUGUAAAAGUGUGUAAUUUUCCCAAGUGUAACUAUCAUUAUCAAAAUAUAGUUUGUACAUUACUGUUUAAGUGAAAUAACCACUAAUUAAAUGUAAAGGGUAAAUUAAUGUAGUACUGUAGUGUUGUUUUAUAGGAACUACUGUUGUACUAAUUACCUUAAACCAAAUUUUUAUCAAGGUAUUAUGUGAUUAAUUGUACAAUACUAUCGACUAUGAAACACGACAAUGCAAGUCGUAAAAAGGUAUGACGUUUGGCACCCGCAGACCUGCAGGUCCGGCUGUAGCUAGCAGCAAGGUGUAGGAUAGUCAAUCCAGUAUAGAUCUAUACGCAAACUCAUGCUCUCCCUCUAAAAGACUCUGGCUACAACUCGGGCCAUGAAAUUGAAGUUAUGCUCCGAUAUAGUGGAUCGCAUUUAUGUUAACGUAUUCAUGUAUAAGUAAUGUAUUGUUACUCAUCCUAGUAUCGUUGAAUAUGUUCUCUUUCUAUUGUAGUUGUAUAUGUUCUCAUUCUAGUAUAGUUGUAUAUGUUCUUAAAGUAAUAAGUAGCGACUCAUGAAUGAAUUGAAUCUUGUAUGUUUCAUUGAGCUAGAAGUAGUAAGUAGUAUAACCCUCAACUAUACCUAUUAUAGUUUAUUAGUAAACUUGAUGAAUGACUAAAAGUACUGAACUGAGAUAUAAAUCUUUAUAUCUACACAUAUAUACAUAAUAUAUAAGUUUAAAAACUGUAAAGGAAUUUUUAGUAUAAAAAGUGAAUUUUAUAAAGUCUUUGACAUGUAAAAUAGUUUGAUAACAGUUUAAAGUCAUUUAUUUGGUAAAAUAGUUUAAAGCAUGAAAAAUCCAUUUGCUUGUUAGUUAUUAAUCACAUGUGAUUUAUCUAAUAACUAACAUGGUUUAACUUGUACCCCCCCCCCCCCACAAAGCAUUUAUAACAUUUAAAAGCAUUUCAAAGGUUAGUUAAAGGGGUAUGAACUCACUUGUAGUGAGCGGAUUGGAUUGAGGUGUCGGGCACAGUGCUAGGUGACAAGUGGAGGCUUGUACACACACAAUGAGCCUAGUUAUCAUAUAAUAAACAUAUAUACAACUAAUUAGUCAAUUUAUAACUAAUAUAUCAAGUUAAGACACCCUAGGACAUGGAAACACUUUGUUUCAAGUGUUAAAGGUCAUAAGGGUUGCAUCCAAGUGUUAUAGGGCAUGGCUAAUGAGUUUAGGGUUCAAGGAAAACCCCAUAUUGGAGUUCAUGGUUUUGUGACCAUCAUCCAAUGAGUUUACGGUCGUAAACUCAUGAUUUCUUGACCAUGAGUUGUUUUGAUGGCUUAAAAGUCCCUAGAAGCAUUUCUACUUUAUGUAUAAGUCUAUGGAAGAGAUUAGGGCACCAUUUCACUCCUAAAUGGAGUUUACGGUUCUUGGACCAUUUUCCUUUGAGUUUACUAUCGUAAACUCAUAUGAUUUAUGGUCUUUUUGGGGUUUUCAAGUCCUUAACUUGUCAAGGAAGGGAUUUAAACAAGUUUCUAAGGCUUAUGAAGGGCUAGGGCACAUUUUGGCAACUUUAUUUAGGGUUUACGGUCCAAGAACAUCUUGGACCGUAAACACCUUGUUCUUGGUGUUCUUUGGACGUUUUCUUGAUCUGUGGAAAUGUAACAAGCUUUACAAUAUAGUAGGGUAGGAGUACUUACUAGUUAGAAGCUUGAAAAGGUGCUAAGGGCCCAAGAACACUAGUGUGUGUUCUUGGUGUUUUGAAGAUCUAAGCAAAACAUGAAAAUGGAUGGAUGGAUGUAUAAUCACUAGAUUAAUUGAUAUACUAACCUGAAAGGGCUAGAAACACUUACUAGAUUGAAGAUCUUGAAGAAAACUUGGAUGAUACUUGAGAGAGUUUUGGAGUUGUUCUUGAAAAUGAAAGUAAUAAGUGAGGAGUUUGGGGAGUAAACUCAUGAUUAAGGCAUGACUUUACGGUUUUAGGAGGAUUUUACGCCCCAAACAUAAAAGUUUGGCCGUGAACUUCUUAACUACAUGGUAUUUGCGGUUUUGAAAUUCCAAGACUCGAGAUGGUAUUUCCUUUCAUUCGUUCAUUUAAGGAAUAAUUAUUAUAAUAAUCUAAAAAACUAUAAAUUUGCUAAAAAUAAAUAAAAAUGAAAUUGAAUUUUAAUUUGAAAUGAUUCACUUUAGAGUUUGUCCGAAAGAAAAUUUCGGGUUGUCACAAGAGUGGACACCCAUUAAACUGCCAUUUUAUAGGCAACAACCUUAUACCCCCCUUAUAGACCGGCUUCGUGAAUGAGGCCUACUAACGGUAAAACGACUUAUUCUUAUAAAUAUAUAUAUAUAUAUAUANAACUAUUAAAACUCUAAGGGUUAGAAUUAAAGUUUAUUAAAGUGUGUGAAACGUUACAAAUUCCAAAACUCGAUGGCAAGUUUUGUAACUAUUCAAAACUUUUCAUUUCAUAACUUAUGAAUUAAAGGUUCAUAAAAAUGAAGACUCUUCAUUUUUAUGUAACUUAUGUGUUUUAAAUGUGUGUUUAAAAGAAGUGACCUUUGGAUAUCCAUAACUUGAAAACAAAUUAUCGACUCCGUUAAAACACAUAAAUGAUCAAGAAUUAAUCCUAAACCAUUCAGCAAAUAAUUCCUAUCAUCUUCUAAAUCCAUAAGAACAUGAACAUGAUCAUCAAAGUUUCAAGAAUUAUAUGAACACAUACAAAGCAUGAAAUUUUGGUAUAAGUUAUUGUAAAUGGAUUAGAAAAACCAUUAAACCAACUAAAACAAGUUUUAAAACACCAAAACAGUUUAGGUGUCACACCCCCAAACCUGAACAGCGGAAACGUUCGGGGGCGGAUGACUUCAUGUGGUAACAUAACAAUUGAAUACAUAGUAAAGAAAGCAAUACAACCAUUAUAUAUAUAAUUGAAAGUUUACAUUUGUCAAAAGUUACAUGUUCAAAACCAAUUACAAUAUGAUGUCAAAAAUACGAGAUUAAACUGGCGCCGCAGCAUCCCUUCAUCAAAAGCGUAAUGAAUACCUGAAAUUACUGAUUUCCUGGGACAUACAAGUAAUUUUGAAAGAGUAGAUCAGCAUUUAAGCUGGUGAAUUUCAUAAGUAUUUAAGUGACAAUGUUUGAAUGAAAUGAAAUGUUUUAUCUUUGUUUGUUUGUGUUUAGAAAAUCCUAUAUUUUCUACUAGUAUAAAAGUAGCCUUCACUCAAGACCAAUGUUUGUUUCCAAAAUGUAUGUAAAUGUAAAAUAACCAAUGAGUUUGAAAACCUUGUAAAUCAAUGCAUUUUUAAUACCCCUUGUGAGUUUUAUAACCAUACUAUUGACUCUGAAUGCCUAUACACAACGUUCUUCAGGCGUUGGAAUGUUAUGACGUUUGUCACCCCAAACGGUGGACUGCAGCUAACAGUCAGGGCGCGGGUUGUCAAGCCCGUAUAGAUCUAUACACAAACACCAUGCUCCCCCUCCAAGGGAUUCUGGUAUAUAAUACAGGACUUGAAAUGUGUACUCGAACGUACAUGAAGUUAGUGUCUCACAAAACCGUGGUAUAAAAACAGAUCUACUUGUUAAAAUGUUACGUUUGUUCUUGUAUACGAAAGUAAACUUCUUGAAAUUCAUGUUUCUAGUACAUAAGAGUUAGAAAUUUGUUCGUAAAACUAUACCUAUUAUAGUUUUCUAAAAGUGUGUCUUGUUUGUUUAGAAAUACCUAGAAAAGGAAUCACUUGUUUAUGAAAGCAUAGAUUUUUGGUGUAGAGUCUAAGAUAGACAAGAAUAAUCUAAGAAAAGUUUAGUUUAUACAUGCAUUACAACAAUUUAUAUUUCAAAGGAUGGAAUAUAACAUAUUUUGUAUAUAUAAAAGUUCCCUAUAUAGUUUAUAAAUCACAUGCGAUUUGGAUAUAUAAAAGCAUAUAAAAUAAUUGUUUAUGUAACACACGAUAAUACUCGUGUGUUUUACUUGUAAUCCCCCCCUUGAAAGCAUAUAAAAGAAUUUAGAGAAUAUUUAAAAGGUAAAUUAAGGGGUAUGAACUCACUUGAAAGUUUGAAGAUAGCGAGAUGGAAAACCGGGCAGAGUUUCGUCUCGGGAAACGGAUUUUUCUCGGGAUUCUCGGGAAUCUCGGGAGUAAAAUCGACCCUCGGGACUUGAGCAAAAAGACCAGAGCUUCGGGUUUGAACGGGCACGGAAAACAAGGCAAGAUUGUGAGAGAAAGGAGAGAAAUGAGCAUUUUUCUCGGAAGCCCUCGCAUUCUAUUUAUAGGAAGACUGAACCGCCUCGGUACGCGGGGCGUACGCUCGUACGCAGCGCGUACGCAUACGUCAUGCAUGACCGAAGCCUCGACUGCCUCGGCUUCGGAUGGGACGGGUCGGUGGGGAGGCGGGUCGGAUGGGACGGUGGGUCGGAUGGGACAGCGGGUCGGACGGGUCGGUCGGACGGGCGGGUCGGACGGGUCGGAAGCCAAGGAUAGGGCGACGUGGACGAUCAGAGGCCAAGUCUCUCAGGUACGCAGAGCGUACAGGGGUACGCAGUGCGUACCUCGGAUGAGGACGCUGAGUCCUCCUCGGAUAAGGUCCGAAUUUUGAAUUAAAUAAAUAUAUAAUUUAUUUAAUAAACUUCAAAAAUUCAUAUCUUCAUCAUACGAACUCCGUUUUCAAUGGUCUUUAUAUCCACGCGUAGGUGAGGCUAUGCUCUACAACUUUUGUUUAGACUCCGUCGGCAACUUCCGAAAUUAUUUUUUUAUUAUUUUGUAUUAUAACUCAUCGUGUUUAAGGAAUUUGCCAAAAGUCACUCGAUCUCCGAUUCGAGUUUUCAGCUGUCUGUUGUUAAGCUGAACUUGGAAAAAUGAUAACUUCGAUAUAUGAAAUCGGAUUUGGCGGUCUUUNACGUACGAUCAUGGUUUAAAGACAUUUAAACAUAGAAGGAAUUUAAAUAGAACUAUUUGUACAUUUUAUUAUGAAAGUAAAUUUUAUUACUCAAAAGUGGUUACAAUACUUGACCCGUUUAGGUCAUUUCAAAGAGUUGAAAUAUCGGGUUGUCACAUUAGGCUAAUGUUUCUAGUCCAUUUCCAGCAACAACAAUCGAAAAACUGCACUCUGCAUGACCAACUCGUCGAGGGCAUGAACUGACUCGGCGAGUUGGAUGAAAAAACGCUUGGACUCGUCGAGUCCCCCCAUGGACUCGGUGAGUUCCCGAUUCAGACAGCAAGCAGUUUCGAUUUUAAGCACAAUUUUGUAUCAAGAAUCAACAAACAAGCCUAGGCUCUGAUACCACUGUUGGGUUUUGAGCAUUCUAACACUUCCUAAGUGUACAUGCAACCCUAAUAAACCUUGGAUCUAUGUUUGUCUAAAAUACAUGCAAAAUUUGUUUUCCAAGGUUUAUAACUUAUCUAGCAUGACAUGGGGAACUUUUAAACAUAAAAAACUAGAUGAAUUACAUACCUUUUGAUGAGUGUUGGUUCCUUGGAGUUUGAGAGCCAUGCACCCAAAAUGUGAAUGCCUCAAAUGGAAAUCACAAAUCACCACAAACUUGUAAAACCUUAUGGAAGUGUAUACUUUGCACUAGAAAUUGGCCACCACUUCUCAUACACACUAGGAUGUCAAUUCAUGCAACAUAGGCGUGUUUAUAUAGUGUAGAUGAUUAGGGUAAACCCUAAUAACCCAUGUCUUUUCCUCUUCCAAGGAUCCAUGGGUUAAAAGCUCCAUGGAUCAUCCAUGGACUUCCAUACAAGCUAAGCUCAUUCCCAAAUGAGUGUUAUCCCACACCAUAUAAAUAUAAUAGCCCAUGAUUUAAUUAAUCUUCCUUUUAAUCACUAAAUCAAUUCAUAAUUAAUUUAAGAUUAAACCUUAAUUAAAUAACAUGACUUUAUAUUAAUAUAUUAUAACUUAUAAUAUAUUAAUAAAACAUAAGUAUACAAUUCUCAUAAUAUUAUCCAUAAAUCGUUUGGGUGAAGUGCAACCCAAAUGGACCAUUUCGGGUUGGGUCAAGUAUAUACGAAAUAAGUUAUGGACAUAGACACCUUAUCAACCAGUUUUUCCAUGCAAGAUUUUCAAGGUUUCAUUUUUUGCACACAUCAAGGGGGAGUAUUGUGAAGAUUAAUCCUCGGGCGAUUCUCACCCUUAAUGGGUUUUAUAAUCAUUUUCUUGAUUAUAAAAAGGGGGAGAAUGAACUGUAGGUAUUCAAAGCUUCGGUUAUUAAUUUGAGGAUUUGAAGACCGGUAUCAUUUCGAGGGGGAGUUUGGUCUUGAGCGCGCAAGCUCAUUUGAUAUUGAAGCCGGGACUUCCAAUCCUAACUUUGAGGGGAAGAAUGUUAGGGUGCCACGGCACGCUUGGUUGUUGAGUGUUAUGGCUUACCCUCUUGUACAUGUAAAUGGGUUGAGUCUUUCCUAUAAAUAGGAAGUGAGUGACUCCCAUUAUGUAAGGAACCAUUUGGAGAGCAUUAGUUUUAGAGAGAGAAACUAGAAAACCCAUUUGUACUCUUUCAAAUUCAACUAAUGAGAGCUUAAAAGAUUUAUUUACUCCAUGUGUUCUUGAUUUUGUAUGAUGCUUCACUACAUAUUUUCUUAUUCCGCACAUGCCAUGAUAAUCAGCACCACCACAGAAUAAACACAAGCACUAGCUUAUUUACGGAAGAUGCCUAAAAUGAUUUUAUGUGCUAAAUAAUUUGUGAUUCUUUUUGAUGCCAUUAUUUGAUAGGAUCUAUAGUCUGUUGCCGACCGAAUCUGGAAACUAUAUGUGUUCAGAUUUCGAAACGUUUAAUUAAGGUAUUAAAAUCGGCAUGUAACUUUUCGGAGUAAUUAGGAGGAAUACACGUCUAAACAUUCUCUAUCUAUAUUCCUGUCUGGAUACACCGAACGCCUACUUUGGUGUAUAGAGUGUCAUGAUAAGGACUCGUAGCGGGCUGAGAAAAUGGAGGAAAUGAGAAGGCUUACGAUAUUGAAUGAUACAUAUCAUAAGAGCGGUAUAUUCCCUUUAAAAUAUGUCUAACAAAUAAUACGUCCAGUACAGGAGAUGUACACUUUUGAUUAGAUGAAAGAAAAAACUUUUGGUAUAAUCCAUGAAGUUAUCCCAUCGUGUGACAUUUCCACUACUGACCAAGUUGAAGCAAAAUUUAUGAUUGAAGAUACGCAUGGAAGAAGUCCUAGUGGAGUCUAGGGAAAUUUUAAUGAUUAUUUGGAUACAUUCUUAUGUGUUAAAUUGUUUUGUGACUUUAGGAAAUAAGAACUUGGGAAAUGCGAGACAAUAUUUGGGACGAGUAUGAGUAUGUGUGAAUUGUAGUAGAGGCCUACACUACCGGAAGCACAUGACUCACGCUUGGAUCAGGAAACGUCACACGGUUACCAAGGAGCUAGUAAUUGAUUAUGUUUUGUUCAAGUGUGUCAUUACCAUCAUUUCAGUAAUGAAUAAAAAUAUGAUUGUUGUUCCGAACCUAGUGGUUGUAUCAAAUUGAUUCUGACUAAUAUAAGUAUGUUAUGUGGUUCAGAGAACCAAGAUCGAUGCAACAUCUGCCUUAAGCCAUACGAUUGAAAUGAAGGAUAAUCGAAGCGAUCAAUAGAAGUAUCACGAUAACCUAUAAAGUAAAGAAUCUUGUAGCUAGAAGUGCUACAUGCUAGAAUGUGAUUAUAUCACAUUAGAACAUGAAGGAAGGUAUAUUACAUCCUAGAAUUUGACUCUAAAAGACCUGAGUCUAAGCAUUGCAUCAUACGAUGAGAGGUCAUUAGAGCAUGACCCAUCGGUUUGUCAUGAUAAUCGAAGUAGAGAACAUCUCUUAAGUUAAGUAUUUUUUAAAAGAAGUAGGAGUCUCUAAUAAGGAUUAAUUUUGUAACUCAGAGGUUACAAUUGAAACUCCAACAUAGGAUAAAGAUCGGGUGCAAGAUUACACACUGCUUGAAGUCAAGAAGUCCAAGAGUUAGAUACUCAUUUGAAUGAACAUAGAAGUUACGGUUAUUACCUAGGAUGAAGAGAUAGCAUACGAAGUCAGUAUACAAUCCUUGUUUCAUUGAUGAUUCCGGAACGUAAUCAUACUAAGCGGGAGAUAAUCGGGCUAGUCAAUUUAGUGACAAUAAGCAUCAAAAAUAACUUUUGGAUUGAAGAUUAGUUAGAAUAAAUAAUAUUAACUAAGUAUAUAUCAUAAGGGUUCCAUACAUAUAAAGAAUGCUAAAAUCCGAGUUAUAAUGAAUAAGUUAUGACCCGUCGAAGUUUUACGACUAAACCGGCACGACACCAUGUAAUAUAAAAAGUAAAUUUUUGAUAAAUUACUUUUUAUCCUUAGCGAGCUAAACGAAACUCGUAGUAUACGUUAAAUAGAUAAUGUAGAUAAACAGAAUGUCCAAAUCUGACUUAGUAUGAGGAAGUUACGAUUUUUCUAAGAUUUAGCACAACAGUACAUAGUCCGGGAUUCGAAUUUUAGAUCGAUUGAUUUUUAGCCGACAUUAUCUAAACGAGAAUUAAAGAUCUUGUUAAUAGGAUCUCAACGAUAUAAAGACAAAUUAAAACGGACGUCGGAUGACAAAGUUAUGAAUUUUUAACGAACUUUACCUGUCUAAGCCUGUUAAAAUAUAAAUUUAAAAAUAAAUUCAAAAUUAGCCGAAAGAGUCUAAACAAAAGUUGUAGAUCAUGUUUCUGCCUACACAUUGAUAUAAAGAACGUCAAAAAUGGAGUUCGUAUGCGUAAGUUAUGGAUUUUAGAAGAUAAUUAGUUUUUGGAGUAAUCUCGGAGUGACACGUGGAACAAUCCUGACCUUUGCUUCCUCCCCACGCCUUCCCACCAGAUGGUGACAUUUGGCACACCAACACGUAGGGUUGGAGGCCCAGAGCUUGCCAAUUUUAGCUAAUUUCCAGCCUAUAAAUAGCAUGCGAGGUUCUCACAUUUUCUUCACAUCUCAACCCUACUCUCUCUCUCUCUCUCUCUCUCUAACUUCUCUCUAAACCUCUCCCAAGCCUUAGUACUUCCCAUGUGCUAAGAGGCGAAUCUCGAAGUUCCAGAAGGCUCUGAGAAGAAUAUCUUUUCGGCUUGGAAGUUCUGCCUCCAUAGAGCCUGGUUUCUAACCAAACCCCCGGUAAGUGAGAUAUGCUUAUCCUACUCUAAGUAUAGCUUAUGUUUAAGUUUAUUAUUGUUAUUAUGAACUCAUAUAUAUAUAUAUAUAUANNNNUAUAUAUAUGUAUAUAUAUACACACACUAUAAAAGGGUUAUUAUAAUAUCUUUUAACUACUCACGGUGCAGGGAAUCUGUUUUUAAAGACCGCAUAGGGUUGUUGGAUUUCAGAAGUGCUAUAAUACCAAAUUGGUCCUGCCCUUUGGUGUUUCAUGUCUGGCCCUUGUCUGUACAUACUAGUUGAGAAGAAUUGUUUAAAACUUAUAAAACAAUAUCGCUCGUAAAUACUCUCAAUAAAUACUAUACUAAAAUCUAGCGGUAAUUAUACUAGGUUUCGUCGACGGAAAAUAGAAUUGUUAGAAGCGAAGCGUUGUCCGAGUUUGGAAUCAUCACUUUAACAAGUGGGUGCAUAGUUACUUUUAUCUUACACAUAUAUAUGAAGUAUUUAAUAUAAAUUAUGUGUUAUUCAUGCAUAUGAUCUGUGCUCUUGAUAUCUAUGCUGGAUGAACCAAAUACAUAUGUGUUAUUUGAUGUAAACUAUAUACGUAUGUUAUACCUAUAAAAAUAUUGGGUAAAGAUGGGUAGAUGAAUGAUGAGGGAUGAAAGAUGAUAUAGAUGAACAUUGACAGCUAAGGACUUAGUGCCUUAUAUAUGAACAUUGGCAGUUUCUCCACAACAUGUAGAUGUUUUUGAACUACGAUAUGCUCUAAACAUUCUACUAGUUGCACAUAAAGGAAAAUAUCAGCAAUUGCACCUAAUAGAAAAUAUCAUAAUCCUAGUGGCUGCGCCUAAAUGAUAAUAUUGUCAGUUGUGCCUAAUAGAUAACAUUUGCAGCUGUGCUAUUGGCCGUGAUGGAUUUCGUACCUAUCCUUUAGGACAAUCCUUAGGAAUAAAUAAAUGAAGAAUAGAUGUUUCAUAGGGUAGUUCCUUUAGAAUAAAGAAGAUAAUAAGGAUGGGUAAUUGGGUUAAUUGUUUGAUGAUGAAGCAUAAUAACUUUAUUAUUAUGGGUUGAAAAUCUACGUACUCGCCAGGUUUCCCAACCUGACCCACUCAGUUUAUUUCUAUCACAGGUGUCGAUUUGAAGCUGCAUUACACUGAGAGAUUAAAGGAGAUGUAAAUCACUAGUGUAAAUUAAUGCAAGGUUUGUUUAUACUUAUGUUGAUGUAUUGACGAUGACAUCCAAAAAAUUUAAUACAAACAAAAUACAUUUCUUUGGAAAUGCUUUGAUAAUAUAUUUAUCAUGUUUUUUGGGAACAAAUUCCACAGUAUUAUUUGUUUUUUAAAUGAAUACUAUGAUUUUCAAAUAAUCAUAAAUAAUUUUUUUAAAAUGACCUUGAAUUUUGGGAUGUCACACACAUCCCCUCUUUUAUUAUUUCACAUAGUCGGUCACUAUCCUAUCACAACCUCUGAUUUAUUUGUCACAUAUAACCCUUUACUACGUGCCUAAGGUUACGUCUCACCAGUCGUUGUGCCACGUGUCAAUUCCUCUGUGGUCUGCAUUUACAUCUUCUAUAAGCGUGCAUCGCGCUCUCUGCGCACUUUGCACGCCAUGUAAAAUGCAGAUUUUGUAAAUUCUAUAACUUCUUCAUACAGGCACUGUUUUCGACGUUCUUUAUAUCCGCGCAUAGCUAUCAACGAGAUCUACAACUUCCAUUUAAACUUUUUCAUCUAAUUCACAUUCUAUUCCAUUUUCUGUACCACUUACUGCUAUUCUAAAACUUCAAAAAAUCAUAACUUCCUCAUAUGAAGUCAGAUUCUGACAUUCUCUAUAUUUGCGUAUUGGGUUAUAUGAUUACUAUGACGUUUGUUUACAUUAUUUGUCAUAUAUAACCUUCUAUUGAGAACAUCUAUUUAUCACCAUGAUGAACAAUUAUCCUUUUUUUCCUUAAUCAUCUAACCUUCUCUUACGGGCAUUACAAUUAUACCACCAUUCAAAACAAAUACCUAUCUUGACUAUGACUUUGAAUCAUGUCUAUAUGUUUCGCAACUGGCAUCACUAUAUCCUUUCACUUCAAGUUCUGGUUCUCCACCAUACACAAGCGAUAUGUUUUUUUUAUUUCUCAAAUACUUAAGAAUGUUCUUGAUAGUCGUCCAAUGACUCAUUUCUUGAUUUCCCUGAUAUCGACUCAUCAUACUAAAUGGAUAUGUCACAUUAGGACGAGUAUAUGUCAUAGCUUACACGAUCGAUCCUAUAGUGAAAGCAUAUAGGAUUGAUUCAUCCUUUCCAGUUCAACACUAGAACUGGGACAUUAAGUCUUACUUAAUUUCACGGAAUGAUGCAUUGGAAUCUCUCUUUUGUUGGAAUUUUCCAUUUUGAAUUUUUCCAAAACAUUAUCCACAUAUGUACUCUAACUAAGUCCAAAACAAAUGAUUCUGUUUAUCCCAUUAAACCCUUAUACCAAGUACGUAUGCCGCUUCUCCGAAGUCUUUCAUAGUGCAACACUUCCCGUCCAAGCUUUUAUAUUUUCCAUCUCAGGAAUAUUUUUUCGUAUGAGUAGUAUGUCAUUAACAUACAAUACUAGGAAAACAAAGACACUCCCACUAGCUAAGACAUACACACAAGACUCAUCUAGAGUUAUAGUAAAUCUAUACAGUACUAGGCUUGCUUAAGUACAUAGAUGGACUUUUCAAGCUUGGACACACUUUUAGGGUACUUGGCAUAUUCAAAGUCUUCAGGUUGUCUCAUGUACACAUCCUCAGAGAGUUUCCCCUUUAAGGAAGGAUGUUUUAACAACAAUUUUCAUAUUUCAUAGUCAUGAAAAGCGGAUAUGACAAGUAGUAUCCGAAUAGAUUUUAUCGUGGCUACUUGUGAGUACAUUUCCUCAUAAUCAAUUCCUUGAGUCUAAUUAUAACCUUUUGCCACCAACCUUGCCUUGAUUGUGUGCACAUUCCCAUCUAUUCCAGUCUUCUUCUUGAAGAUCCAUUUACAACCUACUAUCUUAAGAGCAGGCGUUAGAUCAAGAGAAUGCCAAACUUGGUUAUCCAUCAUGGACUUAGGUGCUGUUUGUUUUUUCCUAAAAAAACCACUUCUGACCACAUAUUGUUGCGCCACUCAACACAUGCGCGUCACUUGGCCUUUCUCAGUUGAUUGUUUUUCAGAAGACUUCUGACUUAAAAAUUGUUGCGUGGCGCAACACUUGACCCUCUGCUUCAAGCAUCUUCACACCUUAAUUUAACUUAUUGCAGCAGUCUGCAAGGCUAAAAAAACAAACAUACUUUUUAUUACAUGUUGCAGCCAUUUGAUCCCCCUCUUUUGUGAGAGAGGAUUGCAGAGUUGGUCCGUGGACUUUAGGUAUUUUCUAUUGAGAUAUAAGUCAUCUCUCAAGGAACACUAAUUUUCGAGCUACAAACACUACAUAUUUACUAGGUUUGUAAAACAAAUAUCCAAAAUAUUUUUGUUGAUAAUCGACAAAGUGACAACUCUCAGACCUGGAUACUAGCUUGUCAUGGGUUUCAUGCCGAAUGAAAACCUCACAACCCCAUUCCUUAAUGUGGUUAGGAAAAUGAACUUUUCAUGUCCACAUUUCAUGAGUUGUCAUUGAAACCUUCUUAGUUGGAACAAGGUUUAGGAUAUAACAUGUCCUCUCAAUUAUAUAUCCCCAAAACAUGAUUGAUAAAGAAACACGACCUAUCAUAGUUCAAACCAUAUCUAAUAUGCUCUGAUUUCUCCUUUUAGAAACACCAUUCAAUUAUGGUGUCCUUAAAGGAGCCAACUGUUAGACUAUUCCAUAAUUGUUAAGAUGAUCCUUGAACACGAUACUAAGGUAUGCUCAUCCUCUAUCGGAAUGGAGACACUUUAUCUUCCUGUCCACUUAGUUAUGUACUUCAUUCUAAUACUCUUUGAAGUUUUUAAGAGUAUAUGACUUAUGUUUAAUCAAAUAAACAUAGUCAUAUCUACUUUAAUCAUCAUCAAAUUUAUUAGAGUAGUGUUUACCUUCCCUUAUGGCGGAUUUGAAUGGUCCACACACAUCUUUGUGUAUGAGAUCCGACAAUCCCUCACCUCUUUCAUAAGUCCCUGUGAAUGGUGAUUUUUCCAUCUUUCCUAACAAACAAUAUUGACAUACAUCAUCCGAUUUGAGGCCGAAUGAUUCCAAGAUUCCUUCUGAUUGGAGCUUGGCGAUGCGCUUCUUACUUAUAUGGCCAAGAUGAGAAUUCAAUGAGCAUGAUUUAUCUAUGCUUUUAGAUGAAUCUGUAUCAAAUUUGUUUUGGUAAGGAAACUUCCUUAACGAGGGUUUAUAGGCUAUCUUUCGCACACUGACUAAACCCUGCUACGAACAAUGGACUAUGCAUCAUACCCUAGAGUCACUGUAGGCGAAAAUUCAUGGCCACAGGUGUUGUGUAGUGUUAGGAUUUGAACAUGGGUAAAUAAGUUAGAAACAAAAACAACACUUACAAAUAUUCCACUGAAAGGGGAAAUUUUAAACAAAAAACAACUAUCUUUAUAAACUAGAAUGUCACCCUCUCAUUAUCAAACGAAACUGAAAAACCUUUUUUAUACAAUUCAUGGAAAGAGAUUAUGUUUCUAGUUAUUCGGGAAGAGAAAUAAUAAUUAUGUAAACUAAUCAUAACUCCACUACUAAGCGCAAUCUUGAACUUUCUAACCAUUGUGACAAAUAAACUUUAUUUGUUUCCCAUGAUCAGAUUGAUCUCCCUAAGCUUGAGUUUCCUUCUUCCCUUUAGUCCAUGCAAUACUGAGUAUAUGUGAGCACCACAUCCCGUAUCAUGAACCCAUGAAUUCAAAGUAGUAGAAGUAUGAAGUUUGAUCAUAUUGUUGGAUUAGUGUCUAAGUCCAUAACUAUUUUGGUAUGUACUUGACCCGAUGGUGCAUGGUCCUUUUGGGUUCCCUUCACCAAAGCAACUUGAUAGGAUGAAUUAUGGAGAGAAAGGAUUAAAUAUCAUUUAUUAAUAUAUUAUGAGAAUAAUAUAUUAAAGAAGAAAUCAUAUUGUUUAAUUAAUGUUAGUCAAUAAUUAAUUAGUAAUUAGUUUUGUGACUAAAAUUGGGCCAUGGAUUGCCUUGUAUUAAGGAGUGGACGAAUUCUAUGGGGAAACCCAUGGGGAAAUCAUCCAAGGCCUAAAGGAAAGGGAUCCAUGGGUUGCUUAGGGCUUAAGCAUCCAAAUUAGGGUUUCCUUGUUUAAUAACCCUAAUAGCCUCCUAUAUAUAGAUCCCUUAUGACCCAAAAACGUGACAAGACUUCUUCUAGGGUUUCACACGUUUUAGGGCAGCCUCCUUCCUCUCUCCUCUUUAUCCUCUUGCUCUUGGUGUUUGUGAACUAUUAGAGGAGUGACAUUUGUGACUCUAAGCUUUCUAAAGUCAAUAGAAGAAGGAUUUGGGAUUGUUAUUGCUACAUAACAAUCAAGGUAAUAUCUUAAACCCAUUCUUAUGUUAAUAAGAUUACUUGUAUGCUAGAAUUAGGGUUUAUAGUCUUGGAUAACUUGCAUGUACAAUAGAGAAACCUAGAUCCAAGCAUUAGGGUUUGUAUGAGCACAUAGGAUGUUCUUAGGACCAAAACCCAUUAGUGGCAUCAGAGCCUAGAUGUGUUUCUAUUGUAUUGAUGCCUUGUAUGUUGAAAAAAUUCGUUUUUUAUGGAUCUGCUUGCUGAACUCGCCGAGUCUCUAGAUGAACUCGACGAGUCCAUGCCUGAAUCGACGAGUCGGCUGGUUAAAAUAAGGGAAAACCGGGAUUUCUUGCUGUUUUUGCUUGAGGAUACUUGCCUUAUCAUAUUAGAUCAAUAUAAAUCCGACUUUUUGAUAUAUAUGACUAUAUACUUGAUCUAAUUGAAGAUAUUUAUCAAUUAAUAAAAUAUUUGUUUCCUUAUGUGAUAAUUGAUUAAUUAUUUUGAUUAAAUUGGUAAAUUGUUUUGCAAGAAAUCAUUAAAUAAAUCAAAUAUGGAUAAUUAUGUGAUUAAAUGUUAAUUAAGAUUAUUUGUUAUUUGAUCCUUGUGUUAUGAAAAGUUUCAUAUUCCCCCCUUAGGUUUUAUAGUCUAAAUUUGAACUCAAAAGUUUAGUUUUGAAAUUUAAAUAGUUGAAACUCUAAUGUUUUGAAAAAGGUUUCAAAACUUGCCCUCAAGUUUUGGAAUUUAAAUUUUGAUUAAAAGUUUUAUUUUGAUGUAUAUUUAAAUUCUAAACCUAAUGUUUUGAAAUGUUUUAAAACUUGUCCUCAAGUUUUGGAAUUUAAAAGUUGAUUAAAGGUUUAAUUAGGAAUGUUAAAUUCUACAACCCUAGUAUUGUUUUUGAAAAAUUCAAAUCACACCCUUAUGGUUUUAUUAAUUAAUUAAGGUGUAUAAUUAAAAGAGGUUUAAUAAAUCCAUAAAAGUUUUGGUUUACAAUUUAAUUGAAUUAAAGGUAUAAUUAUCAAAUUUGACCACCUAGUAUUUUAAUAGUGUAAAAUAUACCCUAUACUAUAUAUAACAUUAAAAGUCUAACAUUAUAUAUAUGUAUGAGUAAAAGUCAGUCUUACCGUUAGUAGGCCUCAUUCACGAAGCUGGUCUAUAAGGGGUGUUUAAGGAAAUUGCCUAUAAAAUGGCGAUUGAAUGGGUAUCCACUCUUACCCACCGCACUCUUGACUAGUGGAGGGUCGUUAGCCGAACGGGUAGGAUAGGACGAAACCUUCCAUUAUAAGUAUAAUGAAGUAUAAAAGUAACUAAAUGUUUUCAUAAAAUUCCCAAUCUUAGUUACUUAGGCAAAAGUGAAUUGAUGCAAUUCCAUGAAAUUACACUUUGUGCCCUUGCGAAGACGUUAGUGGAGCGUGUGUGGUUUACCGGCACACUAAAUGGUUCUAAGCAAAGGUAGCAAAGGGUGACUCAAUGUUUGUCAUAGUUCGGUGGAGCGUGUGUGGUUUACCGGCACAUCGAAUAGGUGACUGUAACAUGUGAGGGCACCAUGUAAGUUUGCAUGGUUAUUCACACCCGCUUUGUGAUCCUCGGCAUCCCAGUCACAAACAAGAGGGGCAUAUCGAGAUUUAAACAUGCCAUUGAAAUGUUCAAUGAAUCUCAAAGGAUCUAGGAGUUUUCAUAGAUUUAAAACUUAAAUUUCUUUUUCGUUUUUCAUGGUGGAAAUUAGUGAAUCGUCAUUCACUUACCUUCAAAUGUUCUGCAAUUUGGGUUACGGCAUCCCUCUCCCGAGUUGUAGAAUAUUGUGUUGGGUCCUAGCCUUAGUAUCUCAUUUGGGUGAUUUACUAAGGACUCAAUCAAUCAACUAACUUGAAUUCGUUUUCUCCCGUUUUGUAGAUGUCAAAGUUCGACAACUAUGGUCUUCCCAAAUCCCGUGGAACAAGCAUUCCACAUGAAGAUGAUAUUCCACGAUUCGAUCGAGGAACAAGAAAUCAUGCUUCACUUCCUCCACCUCCUCCAAUUAUUCUCCCUAACCCACAAGUUCAAAGGCUUGAAAAGUUCAAGAUCACUCAAGCCCUUUUGGCAAGUAAACAUAAAGAAGGAAAGUCGGUGUGUGCACACGUCCUAGGGAUGAAGUCACACAUUGAUAGGUUAAGAAUGUUGGGAUCCGUUGUCUGUGAGGAAAUGGCUGUUGAUUGGGUUCUUCAGUCACUUCCUAACUCAUAUAGUGAGUUCGUAAGAGAGUACUAUAUGAUGAACCGCGACGUGACCCUUAUAGAUCUCACCUAUAUGCUUAUUGCUGCUGAAUCAGCAAUGGUUUGGCGCAAUAGAAAAGCAAAGUUGAUUGGUGAAUCUGCCUUCAAGACCUCUAUGGAUAUAGACAAUGGCAACGAAAGACAUGCUAUGAUCGAAAAGUUUGAUCAUAAGAGAAAGGCAAUGUCUGAAGUAGUUCCAUGUCAUGUUCCAAAAGAGUCAAUUUGCUUUUAUUGCCAAGAGAAAGGGCAUUGGAGACGAAGCUGCCCCAUUUACCUAAGAGAUCUAAGAGAUGGGAGAGUCGAAACGUAUGGCUCUAAUAUAGGUAAAAUCCAUUAACUAACUCUUUUAAGCUUCUAUUCUAGAUUCUUAAUACAUAAUGUGAUAAGAUUACAAUUGAUGUUUUGUAGGAUCGAAGAAAAGAAAGGAAGCUUAAGGGAAGAAGUGAGUAGAAUCUAACCGUGAAGGAAUGGAUUUCGAUCGCAUUUCUCGAAGAUUAGAUUCUUGAGCUACUACUUAGAGUUAGAAUUAGAUUGCUAAGAAAGAUGUAUUAGCAUAGUUUUUCAAUGAAUUGCAUUGUAAGGACAAAUUUUUCCGCAAUAAAAUAAAUUUUGAUUUUAUAUUAUUUAUUUAUCCUUGCAAUGGCAUGCAUGAAAAUUGAUGUUUGAAGGUUUCUAAUAUUAGCAAUAAUGGAUUUGAUUCUUAAUUAUGUUGUUUGUGGAAAUGUCGAGAAUUUACCAAAUAGGGAGAGUUUCUCAUCGCCCGAGUUUCAAUUGGACAGAAACUUGGAAUCAUGCAACUUGGUUGCACGAUGAAUGAGAAAUUUCAUAUUUGGAAGUUCGACUAAUUCAUUGACAAAGUGCCAACUGAAGGACUAGGAAAUCUAGUACACAAAGUUGUGUGUUGAUCAAGNNNNNNNNNNNNNNNNNNNNNNNNNNNNNNNNNNNNNNNNNNNNNNNNNNNNNNNNNNNNNNNNNNNNNNNNNNNNNNNNNNNNNNNNNNNNNNNNNNNNAUAUAGAUCCCUUAUGACCCAAAAACGUGACAAGACUACUUCUAGGGUUGCACUGUCACAACUAGAAAUUUUGUGUCAUGUAAUCUAUACACUCAAGUAAAUGUUGAGUCAAAAGUUUAAGAGCAUGUGUGAUACCUAUUAUUAUGACAUCAAAAACUUCAAUCAAAUACAUCAUACAAGUACUACAAAUAGUCAUCAAACAAUUGGAAACCCUAGAAGUUCUUGUUUAGGUCCAUUUUGGACUAGGACUCCCUUAUUGGACCCAAAUGGACCAAUAAGCUUCCAAUUUGACUAUCAUGGGCUUAGAACCCUAAUUGGGCUCUAAUUGGACCCACAAUCAUUUAUUUCAACAUUUUGGGCUAUUUUGGGCCUAGAAUGAAAUGAAUUAAAAGCUUUGAUCCAUGAAUAACCUAAACUAGUCCAACAAAAAUGUAAAAAUCAUACUAUAUUCUUUUAGGUUAAAACUCACCCAAACUAACUCUAAUAGUGGGCUUAGGGGCAAAAAGCCCAAAUUUUCCUUUUUCCUUCAAGAUUCUCGGCUCAAGGCCCAAACCCAAGAAGUGAUGAAGAGAGUUGACUUGCAAUUGACACCUCAUUAUUGUCUUUUGGAUCUCCAUGCAACUUAUUCCAUAUUUCCAUGCAUAUCACCUCAAGGGUCUAUUUCUCCCUCUCUCUCUCUCUCUCUUGAUCUCGGCCAUUUCAAACACACACACACCUCACAAAUUCUCUCUAGAAUACUCAAGAACUCAUCCCUCCUCUCCAUUCAAAAAUCUCAAAAAUUAAGAGGCUUUCAAGAGGAUAUUUCCACAAACUCUUCAUCUAAGGUAAGGUUAUGCUUGGAUCUAUGACUUAGAUUCUUUGUUUUAUCAAAAUCUCUUCCUAAUCCAUGCAAAAAUCGUGAUCUUGCAUCCUAGAACCCCUCAAACUCGAGAUCUUCAAGAAAAGGGUGCUAAGGCCAAAAAUCACCAAGUUUUCUUCCAUCUUUUCUUCAANNNNNNNNNNNNNNNNNNNNNNNNNNNNNNNNNNNNNNNNNNNNNNNNNNNNNNNNNNNNNNNNNNNNNNNNNNNNNNNNNNNNNNNNNNNNNNNNNNNNNNNNNNNNNNNNNNNNNNNNNNNNNNNNNNNNNNNNNNNNNNNNNNNNNNNNNNNNNNNNNNNNNNNNNNNNNNNNNNNNNNNNNNNNNNNNCCCCUAAAAAUCGAGAUAUACUUUAUGUUAAAUGAUACUAGCAUCAAAUAUAUUUCUACAUACAAAGUGUUACAAGAAAAAUAGCUAAAUGGCUUAACAACAUUUUCUUUGGGCUAAAAACUCAAUUUUUGGACAUAAAAUGUUGAAAAUAUAAAGCUAAAGGGCCCAAAAUGAAAUAUUUCGAAUGCUGAUGGAUGAGAUGAGUCAAAACAGUUCCCAUAAUGUAUUUUCUNNNNNNNNNNNNNNNNNNNNNNNNNNNNNNNNNNNNNNNNNNNNNNNNNNNNNNNNNNNNNNNNNNNNNNNNNNNNNNNNNNNNNNNNNNNNNNNNNNNNCUGUCCCUUAUCCAAAAUGAUAGAUAGUGGUAUACUCUACAGUCUUGUAAUCUUCUUGUGAUAUGCUCCUGUCUACUUUUCUAUUUUUCUUUUUAGCCUCGGUCGGUAGAAAGUGUGUGGGUUUGGUUGAUUUGUCUACGAUCGCUCAAGUGGUAGCAUGUCCAUCCACUAUCCUGGGUAACUUGUCAUGUAGUUCAUGGUAUGACUCAUAACUGAUUCAUCUAUCAUCUCUUUGUGUUUAUAAGUCGUAUAUAAUUAAGAUUGAAAAGACAGUCGAAUCGGUGAUUCUAUUCUAAGCCCACAUCCAAACAAGGAAAAGGAUUUAAAGCGAAAUUACCAACCCUAAGUCCGUAGAAUCUUAAUUAUAUAGGGCUCCAAUAUAUACACUUAGUAAUCAUAGAUUCACUAGUAUGGGUCCAUAGUCUCUACUUGAUUGGGGUGAUUAACUUGGGUGAGAUGGCAUUUACAACAACCCUUUUCCACAACUACUGCAUUUAAGUCGAUUUUUGAACUUGAGUUGCCGUACGGAUGGUAUUCCCAGGAGAUCUUCUGGGAAUAUAUCAGGAAGGUUACGGGCUUUUGGAACAUCCGAGAUCUCUUUCUCUUCUUGUUUCUUAUCUACAGUGCGGGCUAGGACGGCGUGGUACCUCAUGUGUAGGUACUUCUGAGUCUUGAUGUAAAAGGUGAGUCGAGGGUUUGUGUCCGAUUUGUCUCCAUAGACGAUGAGGGUUUUGUUACCCGAUGGGUUUAGGCAAAUGACCUUUUCGUAAUAUAUGAUAUCGGUAUGGUGAGGAAACUAACUAAUACGUUGUUAAAAUGAAAAUGUCGUAAAUUUUUAUUGUGACCGGUUUUAGGAUGAUUUGAACGAAUUGGUUGAUUUAGUGUUAGAGUGCACCCUAUGUACACGUCUCUAGUGCUUUUGAUUAUUCCAAUUCUACUGUAAAUAUUUCGUUUAAGUUUUUGAGGUUUUUGGUUGAGAAAUUGAUUAAAUCUACGACUCACAAUACUCCUCUCCGCGUUGCUAUUAUAUAGUAUCCAUGCAUAUGUGCUAUCGGGAAUGAACGUACCGGAAUCUCAGCGGGGUCUAUUACUGCUUUCCCACGCUCUGUUGCUAAAACACUUCCAACGCUCCUGACCUCUUUGUUUUUAGUCUCCGGGAACUCCUUUAUGAAAUGCCCUACUUCUCCACAUCUGUAGCAAGUCCGACUCAUGCCAGCUUUUGUGUUAUGGGCGGUCUGUUGAGCUGGCACCCUACAGAAAUUUGUGGUAUGCCCCUUUUCAUUACAGUUCUUGCAGUGCAUUUCCCUGCACUUUCCUUUGUGAUGAAAGCUACACUUGGUGCAUUUUGGCAGGUUUCCAACAUAUGGUCUUGUCGGCACUGAGGUAGUAGGGAUGGUUGUGGUAUGGAAUGUCACUGUUUGUUGUCUUUUGGUAGGUCCUUGAUUUGGGGCGUCGUUGCAGGAACAUACUCAGGGUAUCCCUGGUUGUUAUUACAAUUGGAACUUUUGGCACCGUUCCCGCUUUUGUUUGUAUUGUUAGCAUCGAUGUGUGCCAUGACUGUUGUCACCGCGGCUGUUACCACAAUUUGAAAUGUUCUAGGGUCUAUUUAUAGAACUAGUGUUGCACCAGUAUGCUGAUUACCUUCAUGUGUCGGCAUGAUUCUAUUUCGCGAGCGGCCUCCUAUGUUCUCAGUUCUGUGAUGACUGUCCAGGUUGUAGCUGUAAGGGUUCUUUGUCCUAUAACGACUAUCUCCUUUUCUAAGGAGUGUAGGUGAUCCGUAUUGUUCUCUUGAUCUGCUUGCCGGUCUAUGGGUGCUAUGGCCCGAAAUACGGUGCAGUGAGUUUAUGUCGGUUUUGGAUCAUCGGUUGUCCUCUCCAGUCUAUAUGUGUGGCUAGGUAGUUAAUUGCGAGUUGCUUCCUGAAAUGAGAGGUGGAGGUUCUCACACUCCUCUUGAUAGGGUAAGGUUUAUUGAUGGUAUCUCCCGAACUUCUUUCUCCAUCUGGUCCCUUCUCGGAAAUCUUCUUCCUCGUAUUUCAUCUAUUGGUACUCUUCGAAAUCUUCUUCUUGAUCCAUCUAUUGGCUUCGGUGGCAGGAUAGUAGGGGUCUAUGUGGAGAUGAAGUCUAGCUGAUAUGCCUNCUCCUAAACCACACUUAUGCAUGCAUCUUAUUUGAUACCGGAGCGGAGCGAAGUUUCGUAAGCGAGAAGUUUAAACAUUUACUAAAACAACAACCCCAAAAGCUAAAUGAAACCUAUACAGUGGAAAUAGCCUAUGGGAAAACCGAAUCCACUNNNNNNNNNNNNNNNNNNNNNNNNNNNNNNNNNNNNNNNNNNNNNNNNNNNNNNNNNNNNNNNNNNNNNNNNNNNNNNNNNNNNNNNNNNNNNNNNNNNNNNNNNNNNNNNNNNNNNNNNNNNNNNNNNNNNNNNNNNNNNNNNNNNNNNNNNNNNNNNNNNNNNNNNNNNNNNNNNNNNNNNNNNNNNNNNNNNNNNNNNNNNNNNNNNNNNNNNNNNNNNNNNNNNNNNNNNNNNNNNNNNNNNNNNNNNNNNNNNNNNNNNNNNNNNNNNNNNNNNNNNNNNNNNNNNNNNNNNNNNNNNNNNNNNNNNNNNNNNNNNNNNNNNNNNNNNNNNNNNNNNNNNNNNNNNNNNNNNNNNNNNNNNNNNNNNNNNNNNNNNNNNNNNNNNNNNNNNNNNNNNNNNNNNNNNNNNNNNNNNNNNNNNNNNNNNNNNNNNNNNNNNNNNNNNNNNNNNNNNNNNNNNNNNNNNNNNNNNNNNNNNNNNNNNNNNNNNNNNNNNNNNNNNNNNNNNNNNNNNNNNNNNNNNNNNNNNNNNNNNNNNUGGCCCCUGCUGAAAUGCAGGAAUUGUCCAGCCAACUCAGUGAGCUUCUGGACAAGGGAUUUAUCCGACCUAGUUACUCGCCAUGGGGAGCUCCAGUGCUCUUUGUCAAAAAGAAGGACAGAUCUUUUAGAAUGUGCAUCGAUUACAGAGAGUUAAAUAAACUCACUGUUAAAAACUGCUACCCACUUCCACGAAUCGAUGAUCUAUUCGACCAGCUCCAAGGAGCUAGUUAUUUUUCAAAAAUAGAUCUACGGUCCAGAUACCACCAUCUCAAAGUCCGGGAAGAGGAUAUCCCAAAAACCGCUUUCCGAACCUACUAUGGAGAUUAUGAAUUCGUCGUAAUGCCUUUCGGUCUAACAAAUGCACCUGCCGCAUUUAUGUACCUAAUGAAUCGAAUCUGCGGACCGUUCCUCGACAACUUCGUCAUUGUUUUUAUCGAUGACAUUCUCGUCUAUUCUCGAAGCAAAGAGGAGCACGGCCAACAUCUCCGACAAAUUCUAGAAACUCUGCGAUCGGAAAAGCUUUACGCCAAACUCUCCAAGUGUGAGUUCUGGCUCCGGAAUGUGAACUUCCUAGGUCACGUAGUUAGCCAAGAUGGAAUUCAUGUGGAUCCCUCUAAGGUCAAAGCCAUGGAAGGAUGGGCAACUCCGACCACGCCCACUGAAAUUCGUCAAUUCUUGGGUCUAGCAGGCUACUAUAGGAGAUUCAUUCAAAACUUCUCUAAGAUCGCCAAGCCACUUACCUCGCUUACGCAGAAGGGAGUACCAUUCAAAUGGACAGACAAACAAGAGAUUGCAUUUCGAACCUUGAAGCAAGCUCUCUGUAGUGCUCCUAUACUAUCUCUACCAGAAGGCACGGAAGAUUUUGUAGUCUAUUGUGACGCGUCAAAUCAGGGCUUAGGUUGCGUUCUCAUGCAGCGUGGAAGAGUGAUAGCAUACGCAUCCCGCCAAUUAAAGACACACGAAGUAAAUUAUACGACCCAUGACCUAGAAUUGGGAGCCGUGGUCUUCUCUCUGAAAAUUGGGAGGCACUACUUGUACGGUACAAAGUNGUCUUCACGGAUCACAAGAGCCUCCAACACAUCUUGAACCAGAAGGAGCUGAACAUGAGGCAACGAAGAUGGGUGGAAUUGCUAAACGAUUAUGAGUGCGAGAUCAAGUACCACCCAGGCAAGGCCAACUUGGUAGCCGACGCGUUAAUUCGGAAGGAGUACUCUAAUCGCCGUGCGAAAACUCUCUCAAUAAUCAUCCAAUCUCACUUAGCCACUCAAAUUGCGGUAUCCCAGUCGGACGCAAUGAAAACGGAAAACAAGGCAAGCCAAGCAAUACACGGGAUGGAGAAGAACUUAGAAGCAAAGGAGAAUGGAGUAUACUACUUCAUGAACCGUAUUUGGGUCCCUAAGGUCGGAGGAUAUAGGGAGGUAGUUAUGAAGGAAGCCCACAAGACGCGAUACUCCAUUCAUCCUGGUUCAGACAAGAUGUAUUUGGAUAUUAAACAACACUAUUGGUGGCCUAACAUGAAGGCGGAAAUUGCUACCUACGUUAGUAAGUGCCUUACGUGUGCCAAGGUAAAGGUGGAAUACCAGAAGCCCUCAGGGUUAUUGCAGCAACUAGGAAUCCCUGAGUGGAAAUGGGAGGGAAUUUCUAUGGAUUUCGUGACCAAGCUACCCAAGACGUCGGACGGACUAGACACCAUAUGGGUAAUAAUCGACUGACUGACGAAAUCUGCCCAUUUCCUGCCAAUCAAGGAAUCCUACAAGAUGGAGAGAUUGACGCGUUUGUACCUACGAGAAAUCGUGAGACUCCAUGGAGUGCCAAAAUCUAUUAUCUCGGAUAGGGACAGUAGGUUCACUUCACGUUUUUGGCAAUCACUCCACAAGGCAAUGGGAACUCAUCUCGACAUGAGCACCGCUUAUCAUCCGCAAACGGAUGGUCAAAGCGAACGAACCAUCCAAACGCUCGAAGACAUGCUCCGCGCAUGCGUGAUAGACUUUGGGAAGUCUUGGGAUACCCACCUACCUUUAAUCGAAUUCUCAUAUAACAAUAGUUAUCAUUCGAGCAUCAAGGUGGCUCCUUUCGAAGCACUGUACGGGCGUAAAUGUAGAUCACCGUUAUGUUGGGCUGAAGUAGGUGACACCCAGCUAGCAAAAACACAUACGUCGGACAAGGCACUAACGGGACCGGAGAUCAUUCGCGAAACCACGGAAAAGAUCGUUCAAAUCAGAGCUCGAUUGCAAGCAUCGCGUGACCGACAAAAGAGCUACGCCGAUAAACGGCGAAAGCCCUUAGAAUUUCAGGUCGGUGAUCGAGUACUGUUGAAAGUCUCACCCUGGAAAGGGGUUAUACGUUUCGGAAAACGGGGAAAGCUAAACCCACGAUACAUUGGACCUUUUGAAAUCGUCGCCCGAAUAGGUCCGGUAGCAUACAGACUGCAACUACCCGCAGAGCUAAACGGUGUACACCCCGUGUUUCAUGUCUCUAAUCUGAAGAAGUGCCUAUCAGAUGAAACCCUCGUCAUUCCUCUUGACGAGAUCGAAAUCAAUGAGAAUCUCCUGUUCGUUGAAGAACCAAUCGAAAUCAUGGACAGGGAGGUGAAGCGUACUAAGCAAAGUCGCGUCCCGAUCGUGAAAGUACGGUGGAAUGCAAAGCGUGGGCCAGAAUUCACGUGGGAACGCGAAGACCAAAUGAAGCAAAAGUACCCUCACCUAUUCUAGCCUUCUCAAACCUAGCUUCAAUCAGAAUUUCGGGACGAAAUUCCCUCUAACGGGGGGAUGAUGUCACAACUAGAAAUUUUGUGUCAUGUAAUCUAUACACUCAAGUAAAUGUUGAAUCAAAAAUUUAAGAGCAUGUGUGAUACCUAUUAUUAUGACAUCAAAAACUUCAAUUAAAUACAUCAUACAAGUACUACAAAUGGUCAUCAAACAAUUGGAAACCCUAGAAGUUCUUGUUUAGGUCCAUUUUGGACUAGGACUUCCUUAUUGGACUCAAUGGACCAAUAAGCUUCCAAUUUGACUAUCAUGGGCUUAGAACCCUAGUUGGGCUCUAAUUGGACCCACAUUAAUUUAUUUCAACAUUUUGGGCCAUAUUGGGCCUAGAAUGAAAUGAAUUAAAAGCUUUGAUCCAUGAAUAACCUAAACUAGUCCAACAAAAUGUAAAAAUCAUGUUAUAUUUCUUUUAGGUUAAAACUCACCCAAACAAACUCUAAUAUUGGGCUUAGGGGCAAAAAGCCCAAAUUUUUCCUUUUCCCUUCAAAACUCUCGGCCCAAGGCCCAAACCCAAGAAGAGAUGAAGAGAGUUGACUUGCAAUUGACACCUCAUUAUUGUCUUUUGGAUCUCCAUGCAAGUUAUUCCAUGUUUCCAUGCACAUCACUUCAAAGAUCAUUUCUUCUUUCUCUCUCUCUUGCUCUCGGCCAUUUCAAACACACACAUACACAAAUCUCUCACAAAUUCUCUCUAGAAUACUCAAGAACACAUCCUUCCUCUCCACUCAAAAAUCUCGAAAAUUAGGAGGCUUUCAAGAGGAUAUUUCCACAAACUCUUCAUCUAAGGUAAGGUUAUGCUUGGAUCUAUGACUUAGACUCUUUGUUUUAUCAAAAUCUCUUCCUAAUCCAUGCAAAAAUCGUGAUCUUGCAUCCUAGAAUCACCUCAAACUCGAGAUCUUCAAGAAAAGGGUGCUAAGGCCAAAAAUCACCAAGCUUUCUUCCAUCUUUUCUUCAAAAACCGAAACUACACCCUAAGGUGAGCUUCAUACUCCCUAUUUUUCUGUUUUAUAAGUUUUGUGGGGGGGGGGGGGAAUACAAGUGAAAGUGUAGAUCUAUAUGUGUUUUGUAUGCCUUGUAUGAUUUCUAUGCUUAUAUGUGUGUUUUUGUGUGUUUAUAAUGUUGGAUCUAGCCAUAAACCCCUAAAAAUCGAGAUAUACUUUAUGUUAAAUGAUACUAGCAUCAAAUAUAUUUCUACAUACAAAGUGUUCCAAGAAAAAUAGCUAAAUGGCUUAAUAACAUUUUCUUUGGGCUAAAAACUCAAUUUUUGGACAUAAAAUGUUAAAAAUAUAAAGUUAAAGGGCCCAAAAUGAAAUAUUUCGAAUUCUGAUGGGUGAGAUGAGUCAAAACAGUUUCCAUAAUGUAUUUUCUGAAAAUAUACUCUUUUGGAGGAUUAAAAACAUAAAUUUCAAGCUUAAUGGGCUAAAAAUGACAUUUUCGGCCCAAUAGGGCCCAAUAUGCGAAAUUUUCUGUUUUGAAGGGCCAAAACUGUGUUUUUCUGUAAAACAGUGGACUACUAGUGUUCCAAGACCUUUUCUAAGGUUUAAAAUGCUUUUCAAAUUUAAAAAGGACCAAAGUUGCAAAAAUUUUCCAAUUUGGGCCAAAAUUGUAAAAACUGCGAAAAAGAGGGGUUAUAACCGAGAAAACUGUAUUUUCAGGGACUCAAACUGUUUUCAACCUAAAAUAUGCUGAAAAAUAUCAAUUUCAAUAAGUUUUGGUGUUAAAAUGUCAAGAAAAAUGGUUUAAGGACCAAACCGGAAAUUUAUUUAAUUAAAGGGUUGAAAAAGUAAAUUUACAAAAUAAAGAGGGGCUGAAAACAGAAAAUUUUCAAGGCUAAUUCAAUACACCCAACGUGAUCAAAUAUUGGCACCGCGACUACCGACGAAAUACAAUACACAACAAUACCAAAAAUCGUUGUUAAACGAAUUGAUUCGGUCUCGAAUCAAUAACAACCCGAAACUACUAACACGACGAUAACUCGAUUCACACAAGUAACAUUUGGGAAUUUAAUACACACGUGAGAGUGCACAGACGUCUACGCACCAUCUUUGGGCCCCAAAGUGUAAAAUCUUGUUUGUUGGGCCUAGCUAGCCCAAUGACCUGAUCUUAAGGCCCGAAGACUUCUACCUUACGAGUUGUUGGGUCUUACAUGAUCUAACACAGCGUAAAAGGACUUUCAAUGGCUUUUAUACUAUUGGUCCCCAAGGGUCCUUUGGUACUGCUAGUAAAGUCGGUUAUUUUAAUGCGAGGCGGGUCAAAGGCCCCUCGUACUCUUUUUUUUUAUCCCCAACCGGCUAAUGGAGUUAUCGAGGUCUUCGUGCCCUCUUUCUCUUCGGAUGUGGGAUUACUCGAAGUCAGGGCGGUUGGAUUACGUGAAUAGUACGGACGACGCCUACGGGAUCGUUAGUAUAGUUGUAAACUGGUCGUUUGCGUAACGCGUGUUUAUAGCAAUUCACCAUGCGCAAUAAUCCGACGUCGCCUGGAAUUAAUGACUUCACACGCCGCGAUGGUUUUAUUUUCAACUUCAUGGAAUUCAAAGAAUUAGGAAAACAUCGGGUUUUCCUAGGGUUUUACAAUACAUACAGUUUCGAAAUGUACACAAGUUUAAUGAACUUUUUUUUUACAACUAUAGAAACAAACAAGCAUACUUAUGGAUCUUCACAAACGUUUUCAAAAACUCUUUUCAGAAAAUAUCGGAUUUUCUGGUGGUUUUCAAAAUAAUACAAAACGUUGCUUUUCAAAUACCGCUUAUGAACUCACCAACAUUUCAUAUGUUGACGUUUUUCAAAAUACUUGUAUUCUCAGGUAACAAGUGAACCAAAGGAAAAUGUACUCAGUGAUGGCUUGCAGUUUAUUUAUUUAUGAAUCGAACAAUUUAUUUUUGGGAAUGUAAUGUUUAAACAAUGUACUCAAUGUAAACUUUAUCGGUUGUACUAUAUUAAUGCAUGGUGACGAAUGAUGUUAUGUUUCAUGUAUAUUCAAUGUUAUGGUAUUCAAUUAAGUCACAACAGCCCUCGGACGUUUCCGCCGUCUGGUUGGGGGUGUGACAUUCACACAUUUUAGGGCAGCCUCCUUCCUCUCUCCUCUUCAUCUUCUUGCUCUUGGUGUUUGUGAACCAUCAGAGGAGUGACAUUUGUGACUCUAAGCUUUCUAAAGUCAAUAGAAGAAAGAUUUGGGAUUGUUAUUGCUACAUAACAAUCAAGGUAAUAUCUUAAACCCAUUCUUAUGUUAUUAUAAUUACUUGUAUGCUAGAAUUAGGGUUUAUAGUCUUGGAUAACUUGCAUGUACAAUAGAGAAACCUAGAUCCAAGCAUUAGGUUUUGUAUGAGCACAUAGGAUGUUCUUAGGACCAAAACCCAUCACAUAUAAGUUCCUAAACUGGACCUGAUCACUUGAACCUUACCAUCCUUAAGAUCGUUCAAGUAUUUGGGGUAGCUUUGUUUCCAAUAACCCUUCAUGCACAAUAGAAUCAGAAUGUGGCUUUAGGAUCACUCACAUGUGGAUAUGACCUAUAUUAUUUAGCAUUAUUACCACCUUGGGAAUGUAAAGCCGCUACUUCCCCUUUCCACUUGGGAUUGGAAAACUUUCUUAUCCUCUCCAUUUUAAUUUAUAUUUGGUUUCUUAAUCUUAGUAUGUUAGUUAUCUUUUUAGUUAUUUUUGUUGUUUUUAGUAUUUUAAAUUGUUUGGUUUGGAUUGUUUUGUAUUUGAUGUAAUUUUUAUUUUCCACGUUGAAUUGUUUUAAUGUUUAAGAUCUUGUAGAAUCAUUUUCCCUUAGGAUGUUAGUAGAAAAUUCAACAAUUAGGAAUGAGUGUGAUUUCAUCACAAGAAAUUUUUCAUGAGACGUGUUGCGUUGCAAAAGUAUGGGGUUACUUACCAGCACUUGAGAGUGGAUUUGAGCCUCUAAAAAUUCAUUACUUAUUCGAGAGAGAAAAGCAUACACAAGACGAUGAGAGUAGUGUUUACCUGAAAUGACUCGUAUCACAAAACCACACACACAAAAUCCACUGUCUGAAAUUUGUGACGCUUACAAUAAACAUGUGUUAUGCGUCGAAGUUUUAACUACAUUCAAAAUUCUCAAAAAUCACAAAGCAUGAUGAAUUCCUCUAUAAUGUGCGACAUAUCGAUCCAAGUCCCAACUUUACUCUAUCUUUCAUGAAUAAGGUGUUUUGAUGAUUAUUUCAUGCACUAAGUUCUUGUAUGAGCGUGGAAGACACAACUAUCCAGUUUUUCUAAAGAACUAUCAAAUCAUCAUUAUAACAUGUUCUUUAAAUGAACCCACCAAGAGUCAAUUUGACGUCACUACUCGUAUCCCAGUGGAGUUUGUUCCUUUUUCACCCUAUUACAUUUAUUGUUUGUAUACAUACAAUAAGGUCAUUGUAACAUUUAAGUAUGCGGCGUGGAGUCGAAAAAAAUAGGAAAUUUCAUGCUAGUAAAACCUUGGGUUUAAAUUUAAAUUUAUGUUCAUUGUUGCGUUGAGAUUGAGUUUAUUAGUGUUAGAUAAUGUAAUUUAAAGUGAGUUACAAGGUUUAAUUUAGCUUAUAUUUUUUAGAUACCUGUGGAUUUCUAAGUUUUAGUGAAAUCAUGAGAGAAAAAGAAGAACUUUUGUUGUUUGAGGAAUACAAUCAAUUCUAGAAUAAAGACUUUUAAUGAUACAUAAAUUAUAACAUAAAAUGUAUCCAUAACUCACAUUUUCACGUGUCUUAAACAAUGUCUUCCUUUUAUAUUUUAUUUAGGUAUAAUCUUAAGUCAAACGCAUGUCUCCUCAAUCCAUCUAAGUCAAUAUAUCAAAAGCAGCUUUUAAUUAAGUCAAUAUAUCAAAAGCGAGAGCUAGGGUUUUUUUGAUUUCCCACGAUCGAGCUAGAGAACGACGACUACAAUGCGUCUUCUCACCAUCCAGCAACCUGAUCAGCUCACCUCACUUCACCGAUGAUUGCAUCUCGGUCCACCUCCCUUCUACAUCCACCUCCCUAACGAUAGUCGUUGAUACCCUAGAUCCUCCACUGAGAAGCUUGAUGUCCAAUAUAUAGUAAGUGUUACUUUUUUAGUUGUUUUGGUCGAAUCCCCUGUUACUUUUUUUACUAUUUCACCUUUAACUUCAUUAUUUGUAUUGAUUCUAUGACUUAGAAUGGUCAAUUUUUUUGUAAUUAUGUCGUAUACAUUUCAUCGGGGAAGUAGUAAAUGUGUCUACUAUAUGCUAAAGCUCAUGAAAGAUAUAGUUGAGGAAGGAAUUGACGUAUUGGUCAAUGACAAUGUAUGUGUAGUAUUCUACUCUCACUAUAUGCUAAUAUUAUAGUUGAAAUAGUAGGGUAUAUGAAAGAAAUAGCAAUUUACUUUUAUUUAUUUGAAAGUAUGAUCCUCUAAUAAAAAAAGAAUUGAAAGAAUAGUCCUUUUAUAUAUUUGUAGACUAUAAAAUUUAUCAUACUCUCAAUAUUAUAGGUUAUAUGCAAGAAACAACAAUGUACUUUCAUUUAUUUGAAAGUAUGUGGCACUAAUAAUAAAUGAAUCAAAAGAAUGGUCAUUUUAUGUAGUUGUUGAAUAAAACAUCCUACUCUCAAUAUUAUACGUUAGAUACAAGAAAUAGAAAUGUACAUUCACCUAUUUGAAAGUAGGACGAUCUAAUAAAUUAAAAGAAUGGAAAUUUUAUGUAUUUGUGGAAUAUAGCAUCUUACUCUCACAAUUAUAGGUUAUAUGCAAGAAGUAGUUGUGAACUUUCAUUUAUUUGAAAGUAUAAUGAUCUAAUAAGAAAGGAAAUAAAAGAAAAAUUAUUUUUUAAAAAUGAAAUGUUAUAUGAAUUUUUUAUCUCAGGUUGGGCCGCAAAGCUGAGUAGACGUAUUGUGAUAUUGAUGGAAUUUGUGAAGAAUAGUCAUCUUUUGUUGUAGAUUUAUUUAUCGAUGAUAUUUAGUAUUGACAAACUUUUGGUGAUAUUUUUGUAAAUUUUGAAAUGUUUGUUAGCAUUUGACAUGUAGUCUACAAUAUUUUUGGUAACUUUUUGUUAUUAUUUAACAUGAAGUCUACAAUAUUUUUAAUAACUUCUUUGACAUAUAACGUUAUCGAAAGAAAUUGAUUGUUUUGCUAUAUAUGUAUUUCUGUAUUUCUAUAUUACUGGAAAUUAAUUAUUUGAAAAUUAGUUAAUAUAUAAUUUUUUAAAAUUCUUUAACUUAUGACAUGUUAAAUGCGUUUUGUCAAAUAUAUCAUAAAUUCAUGUUAUAUAUGCAUGUCACUAAAGCCCUAUCGUAAAACACGAUGACCCAUAUUUUCUGCAUCCUCAAAUGUGUUUCAUAAAUUUAUGACAUGCAAAUGAAUGACAUCUUCCUUUAUGAAAGGGGCUUUAAUGACACGCAUUUGCGUUUCAUCUAUCCCUUUUUUAUGACAUGCAAUGUGUCUCAUUAAAUUGUUGUUUUUUUGGAAACGACAACUACAUCAAAUAAAUCAAGCACUUGCAAGAAAGAAGCUAAAAUGAGGUAGGAAUACAAAUACAAGGAGAAAAGUAAAGAUAAUAAGCAGCUAACAAAGGAAUAUAACUAUGAAAAAAAGUGAGAGAAAGGUGAAAUGCACCAAUCGGUCAACCCUCCACAUCCAUGAUUGCUUCUAUACUUAUGCCAUACAUAGGAUGAGGAAAUAAUGUUGUCUACGGUUUUUGCCAGUGGUGCAACUAUUUUCUUAAAAAAUUGUCAUUCGUGGGCAAACAAAUACUCCACAAGAGACAAUAGAACACCAAGUUUAGGAUCUCUUUUUUUUCUAGGACAGUUUCCCCAAAUAGUUGCAUAAUGAACGAAUUCCUUAACAUUUAAGAAUCUUCUCCUUUGAACUCCACACCAUUUGAGGAUCAAGUCUAGUAGCUCCCGAUUAUAGUCACUAGUAAUAAACAGAUGAUCUGUUUAUUCGUUCUCCUUGUUGCAUAAUGGGAAAGUAAUGUUUAUAAUGUUUACACCCUUGACGAUCAAAGCAUCAGCCACAAGUACUUUAGCCAAUGAAGCUCUCCAAAUAAAGCAUCUUACUUUCAAAGAUAUCAGUUUUGACCAACAAAUGGAUAGACCAUUAUACAAUAUCAAUUUAGAUGCUAUUGGCAGCGUAUUCCCCAUUAGGGUUCAUGGUAAAUUCAAAACCGUAUUGGAAAAUUUUCACAACAAUCAACAUUCCAAUAUCAUUGUACAGUUGCAUAACAUUUUACUGUUUCUAAAGAGUACAAAUUAGGGAUUUUUUUAUAAAAGAAGUAUCGCCACACGAAAUGUCUUUUUAGAACAUAAUUUUGACACCAUAACCUAAAACAAGCUUAUAUAUCUCAUUCACAUCAAUAUUUAGGUUCGAGAUGGAUUUUACGUUCAUGGAGAUGUUGCACCAAACACCAUUUGUGGAUUUCCUAAAAAUAUACGAGGCUAGUUUAUUGUGAAAAUUGUGAAUUAUGACAUCCCCAUUUUCACGACCAAAAAAGACCGAUUUGAUUGUGCUUAUUUAAAAUUCAGAGUAUCCUUUUUGAAAAAUAGUAUUGUGGAAUUUGUUCCAAGAAAAGAUGAUAAAGAUGUUAUCAAAUCAGUUCUGAAGAAAUUUAUUUUUAUAUUAAAACAUUAGGAUGUCAUCUUCAAUACAAAAACAUAAGCAUAACGAAAUAUUACAAUCCUUAAAGUACUUAAACUAAUGGCCUAAUUCUCAUUGAAUCUCUCAGCAGAAUGUAUACUUCAUAUAGCCACAUGUGAUACAAUAAACUGAGUGGGUCAAGUUGAGAAACCUGGUGAGUACAUAGGGUUUUCAACCCAUAAUAAUAUAAUUAUUACGUUUUAAUCAUCAAACAAUUAACCUAAUUUCCCAUCCCCAUUAUCUUCUUUAUUCUUAAGGAUCUACCGUAAGUGAAGGUUCUGAGGAACAAAGAGGUGCCCCUGGUUCAGAUCCAGUGGCAACAUCGGAAGGGGUCCGAGUCGACGUGGGAGUCGGAGUCCGAGAUGCGCGAGCAGUACCCAGAGCUAUUUCUAGAGCAUAACUUCGAGGGCAAAGUCUGAUUCUAGUAGGUGAGAAUUGUAACAUCCGAACUCCUCGGUAUAUUAUUUAUUUAUUUUUGACAUUUAUUGAGCAACUUGAAGAGUUGGUGCCUCAACUCGUCGAGUUGAGUUGGAUUUGAGCAUGCAUGUUAACUAACCGACUCGACGAGUAAGAGAUGUCGACUCAUCAAGUUGGCACUGUGUAAGGAAACCCUAAAUCCCUGGGUUUGAGGCCAAUUUAAGGAAAUUUUUGUCCUCAUUUCUGCCUCACCAGCUACCCUACUCCCUUGUGUGAAACCCUAAUCAUUGGUAGUGAGCUAAGAGAGUUAUAGAGCUAAUCCUUGACAGUUUUGGUGCAUCGUUUGAAGAGAAGGGAAGGAUUUCAAGCAAGAAACGAGAAGGGGCUGUUAGAUCCAUUGCUAUUUCGUCCAGAGCUUUCGUGAAAGGUAAAAAGUCCACACCUUUCUCACUAUUUUGGUUAUAUCUUAUGUUUAUGGGCUUUAGGGCUUUUUCCAUCUAUUAUUGGGUCUUUGAGUGUAUUGAGUUCAUCAAGAGAUCUGGAUUUCGGAUCUAGACCUUGUAAGGUCCCUAGAGUCCAAAGGUCCCUACUUUAUUCAUCCAUAAUAGAGCUUUUGAGUGAAAAACCCUUAAUGGAUCAUGUUUUUGGCAUUUCAAGCCCUAAGUGCCAUGCAUGGACCUAAAACUUGUGGAUUUACGUGAUAAGCGAGCCUUGGGAGGUUAGACUUAGAGUUUGGGCUUGAUUUAUGCCUUAAAACAUUUGAAUGAGAAAAGAGUUUAAAAGGACUCGACGAGUCGAUGAGCUGACUCGACAAGUCGGAUAGGGUUGUCCCGAUGGAUCUGAACAUGUAGUAACUCGGCGAGUUGACGGGUCAACUCGACGAGUUGAGUUGGACUUUUGUGAGAUUCUGAGAAUAUUCAUAGAACUCGACGAGUUGUAUAUAUGCACUCGAUGAGUUCGGUUAACAUGGACCAUUGACUCGAGUAGACUUCUGUUGACUUUAAUUUUUGAUCGAUCAUGACUUACGGAGACCAUAGAUGGGUAAAAUGGUCUUUUUCCCAUUCCAAGAGUUAUAGAGAGAGGAAGUAACUUAGUUACUUAGAAUUGUGAUUAAAGUGUUAAUUAGAGUUAAUUAUCAUAUGUGAAUAGGAGAGGCCCGAUUCGGUGAUUCGUGUUUGAGGGGUACAUAUUUACCUAGCUUAUUACGAGGUGAGUCUUCUCACUAUACUUACCAUGAGUGGUAUCUAUGUGUGACUAGAGGGUCUUAUGUUCUUACUUGAGUUAUGUGAUUUUAUGUAUUUUGUAUGUGUGAUAUAUAUGCUAUAUUAUGUGUUUACUAAGAUAGGAUUGGAGGAUCCAAACCGAUUUGUGGGACUAGAGGGUUUCCAUUGACACAGGACCGAAGGGUCUAACUCGAGUUGUGGGACCGAAGGGUGUCUACCAAGAUAGGACUGGAGGGUCCAAACCAAGCUGUGAGACCGAAGGGUACUCACUAAGACACAUGGCCGGAGGGUCCAUACCGAGACGCAUGAGACCGAAGGGUCCAUGCUGGGUUAUAGCCAUGAGGGACUUAUUACUUGUGAAUGUGGUAUUUUGGGGAACUCACUAAGCUUAGUGCUUACCGUGUUCUGUGAUAUGUGUUUCUGGUACUUCUUAAGAAUGCGAGAAGGCACCGGCGUGAUUGUACACACUUGUUCGAGAUUAUGUCAAGGAUUCUGGGAUUUGACUUUUGUUUGUGGAUUUAUGUUGACAUUUGAGACACUUAUGCUUUUUAUGAAAUAUAAUAUAUGAGUUUUAUGUGUUUUAAAAAAAUGAAAAUUUUGGUUUGAAAAUUUACGGUGUUAUAAGCAUGCAAAUGUACUUGGUACUCUCGGUGUCAUUUAUCACCUAAUCAAUGUGUCGGUUAGCCACACACACUCCAUUGAUCUAUGAUAAACAUCAAGCAACCUUUGCCACCUUUGGUAGUCCCAACUUAGUGUGCCGAUUAUCCACAUAUGCUCCACUAACGACUUUGCAAGGGUGCAAAGUGUAAAUUCAUGGAAUAUCAUCAUUUCACAUUUUGGCUAAAGUAACUAAGGUUGGGAAUGUUAUAAAAAGCAUAUAGUUAUUUUAUUAAUCAUUAUAUUUUUAGUGAGAAAUUAUUUGUCCUAUCCUACCCGUUCGGCUAACAACCCUCCACCAAACAAGGAAGUGGUGGGUGAGAGUGGACACCUGUUAAAUUGUCAUUUUAUAGGCAGCAACCUUAUACCCCCUUAUAGAUCGGUUUCGUGAAUGAGGCCUACUAACGGUAAGACUAGCUUUAUCUUAUACAUACAUAUAAAUAUAUAUAUAUUAACUUAAAACUACAAUAACAAGAAGAAAGCAUGAAAUNAUAAUAGUAUAAGGGUUGAAUUUUAAACUUGUAAAAUUCUAGGGUUUAGAAUUUAUAUGUUUUAAAAUUAGACUUUUAAUCAAAAUAUUUAAAUUCCAAAACUUAACGGCAUGUCUUGACACUUUUCAAAACUUUCUAGAUCAAAUUACAAAUAAUUUAAUUAAACACUUAAUUAGUGAUUAUCCAAAUUUGACGUAAUUCAAUUUUAUGGCAAGAUAGUUCAAAUAAUUAAAGUUAUUAUGUAACGCAAUAAUUAUCUAAUAAAUUGACUAUUAUCUUCUAUUUGGAUAAGGAUAACCAUAUCAAUUUAAUAAAAAUCAGAUUUUAUUAAUCGAAAACAUUUUUGGUAAUUAUCCCAAUCCAAAACAUGCCAAAAUCCUGAAAUAUCUGCUCUCUGAAUCUCCGACUCGCUGAGUCACAGUCUGGACUCAUCGAGUUCAUCUGACAUCUCGAGUUCAUCAGUUGACUCGAAGAGUUCAGCUGUCAGAGGGCAGAAAUUUCGAUUUUUUAAGCAGUGAACGAUCAAACAAGGCAUCAAAUACAAUAGAAAAUAGCCUAGGCUCUUAUACCACUGAUGGUUUGAGCAUUACAUCAAUCCUAUGGUGCACAUGCAAACCCUAAAACUUUGGAUCUAGGGUUGUCUAAUUGUACAUGCAAAUCAUCCAAAGCUUAUAACCCUAAUACUAGCAUACAAAAAUAAGAAAACAUAACAAAAACAAGUUUAGAUGAUUACCUUUCAAUUGUAGCAAGAAUCUUCAACCUUUGAGAGCUUUAGUAUCACAAAUGUCAUACCUCCAAUCGAUCGCAAACACCAAGGCAAGUUGGAUGAUCUUAGAGAGAGGGUAAGGAGGUUCAAAAUUGUCUCUAUGAUCUCUAGGGUUCAAGUGGCCGAUUUUGGGAUGCCAAAGGGGUCUUUAUAUAGCUGCAGAAUUAGGAUUUCGGUCAAAUCCCUAACCUCGUUGCUUAAGCCCUAAGCAGCCCAUUGGAAUCUUCCAGAAUCAAGCCUGUUGGACGAAAUCCUUAUGGGCUCCCAUAAGAUUUCAUACAUCCCUUACUUAAUGGAUCCACAGCCCAAAAUCUAAUUAUCUUAUGAUUACACUUUCAAUCUCCUUAGUUUAAUUAAUCUCUUUUGACCACAAAAUUAAUACUUGAUCGAUAUUAAUUAAACAAGUAUGAUUUAUCCUUUAAUAUAUUAUACAUAUAAUAUAUUAAUAAACCAGAAUAACCUCUUUCUCCAUUAUUCAUCCAAUAAAGUUGCUUCGGUGAAGGCAACCCAAAAGGACCAUGCUAUAACCAGGUCAAGUACAUACUAAAUAUAGUUUUGGACUUAGACACUAAUUCAACAUUGGAUGCCCGAACUCAUCGUGUAGAAACGAUUCAGGUUGUGUGACUUUAUGAGGUCUACUCGACGAGAUAGACCCCAACUAGACGAGUAGGAGUUGGAAAAUGACACCCUAAUUUCCAGGGUUUUGCACCCUAUUUAAAGGGUCAUUAGCCUCGCUCGGCCUCCCUUACCGUCCUCUUAGACCUCAGAAAAACCCUAAUGUCGCCUACUCUCCGUCCUUGUGUGUUGAGAAGCUUGGAAAGUGGAUUUUGUGAAGAAGGCUUGAAAUCUAAGGAGCUUGGAGCAAAGAGAAGCUUAUGGAUCUGACUCUACUCCAUCUUGGCAUCAUUUUGAAGGUAACAAGUCAUUACCUUGACUUAUCUAUAUCUAUAUCUAUUCAUGCAUAGGUUUAGGGCCAAUUUUAGCAUAUUUGUGAAUCAUUUCGGGUAUUGGUCAUGAUCUGAAGUUUUAACUUUAGAUCUGGACUCCUCUAAGUCCCUAUAGUCAUAAAGUUAUCAGAUAAGCUUUGGCCUUUCUGCUUGGGUUAAACCUUUCCCUUAGUUUUGUAACAGCUCAAAUUUUUCAAACAAAUUUUUCAUUUUAAAAACAUAAUUGUUUCCAUUCUAAACAUGACAUAAAUAGAUUAAUUAUUCUGUCAAAUACAAUUAUUCAAAACCCCAAGAUCAUAAAGCCAAUCUUCAGUGUGUAUCGAUCAUGCCGGCGCCUUCCCACGGUCCUCGCUAGUACCUGAAAUACAUGCACAACAACUGUAAGCAUAAAUGCUUAGUGAGUUCCCCAAUAUACACUUACGCACAUACGCCUUUCCAGGCCCUGACCUUCCGGUCCUCAUAACAUAAUCGCCUUCCGGCCCAUAACAUAUUGCCUUCCGGCCCCCAUAACAUACAUAGCACAUAUAACAAAUAACUUACCACAUAUAGCAUACAUAUCACAUAUCAUAUCUGACCUUCCGGUCACACAGUCAAACCCUUCCGGGUACAGUAUAGUGAGAAGACUCACCUCGUGAAUGCUGAAAGCUAGCAAAUCCUGAAAUCACUCGUGCACAAUCCGACGAGCUACAACCUCCCUAUAACAUCACAUAUCUCUCAUUAACACUUAUAUCUUCUAAGUGUGACUAUCCCUAAGAAGUCAGACUUAGGUCAACUCUGGUCAACGGUCAACGGUCAACGGUCAACUCGACCGGACUCGGCGAGUGCCAUGGCGACUCGGCGAGUCUAGACGUCCUCCAACUCUCUGAGAUUCCCUAUCUACUCGUCGAGUAUCCUCCUUGACCCGACGAGUUACUCCUGGAAGAAUCGCGGGGCCACCCCGACUCAACUCGCCGAGUCUGAAGAACAACUCGACGAGUCCCAGUUAAUCUUCAAGCUACUCGCCGAGUCUGUUCAUCGAACUCGGCGAGUCCAUGCCAUGCAACCGCUCAAACUGCAUCCUAAGGUCAGAACUGCUUCGACCAUUCCUAGGUCUGGCCUUCCUAGGCUGAUCCAUCACGUAAAGUCCUCAUUUCAGUGCUCAUGAUACACCAUAUGAUUCAUAAUUUACAUUUUGACCUAAGGCAUAAGGAUUCCAAUCCAAAACCUUCAUCAAUUCCCGAAAUGCACAGACAUGGGACAUUCUGGACCUCCAAAGGUCCCAAUACAGGGUUACAAUCGAUUAGGGGACUAGGGUAACAUUCAAUCUAUUCACAAAAGGGUUCCAUAAACCCUAAUUCCAUAAUCACAUCAACAUAGCAGAGUAUACUCGAAUUCUUACCUGGAUGAUGUAUCCUCUGUGUCCCCAAUCCUCAGAAUGUGACUCCCUUGCUGCUCCUUUAGCCAAUCCCUUCUCUUCCUUGCACAACCACUCUUCUAUAAUCAACAAUGGCCUAUAAUCCUUGCUCCAGAUGCACACAAUCGAUUUAGGGUUCUUCUCAGAAGGCUAAAAUGAACAAUGACGGCCAAUAAGUCCCUUUUAUACGUCCCAAACCUGAACGGUUAGGGUUUUCGCUAAACAGCGUAGACUCGCCGAGUCCAUAUCUGGACUCGUCGAGUCCAGUCGCGAACCCGCGACCAAGUCUGCGAUCCUACUCGGCGAGUCUAGGCUCCAACUCGCCGAGUCCCCUCUUAACUCACCCCAAAAACAUAAUUUAACAAUACCUGAGAUUUCGGGCUGUUACAACUCUCCCCCACUUGGAUUAGACUUCGCCCUCGAAGUCUCACUCUGCAAAUAGUUCCGGAUGCUGCUCCCGCAUUUCGCGCUCCGGUUCCCAAGUCAUUUCUGAUCCCUUACGGUGUUGCCAUUGAACCAACACCAGAGGUACCUCCUUGUUCCUCAGAACCUUGAUCUUCCGAUCCCUGAUAGCCACUGGUCUCUCCGCGUAAUUCAGGCUCGCAUCCACCUGAAUAUCCUCCAAUGGAACCACUGCCGACUCAUCGGCUAUGCACUUCCUCAACUGCGACACAUGAAAAGUGUCAUGGAUCUGACCCAACUCCGCUGGCAACUCCAACCGAUAGGCUACCCGGCCUAUCCUUGCAAUCACACGAAAUGGCCCAAUAUACCGGGGCCCCAACUUGCCCCUCUUCCUGAAUCGAAUCACUCCUUUCCAAGGAGAGACCUUCAGGAGAACGAAGUCGCCGACCUGAAAUUCAAGCUCGGAUCGGCGCCUGUCUGCAUAACUCUUCUGUCGGCUCUGGGCAGUCAAUAACCUUUGUCUCACUCGCUGAAUCUGCUCUGUCGUCUGGAGCACGAUCUCCGUGCUGCCCAUCACUCUCUGUCCCACCUCUCCCCAGCAAAUGGGGGUCCGACACCUCCUACCAUACAACAGCUCGAAAGGUGGCAUACCAAUGCUCGAAUGAUGGCUGUUGUUGUAGGAGAACUCUGCCAAUGGUAAAUACGCAUCCCAACUACCCCCGAAGUCUAACACACACGCUCGGAGCAUGUCCUCCAGCGUCUGAAUUGUCCGCUCGCUCUGACCGUCUGUCUGGGGAUGGUAUGCGGUACUAAAAUGCAAUUUAGUACCCAGCUCCUCAUGGAAUUUCUUCCAGAAUCUGGAAGUAAAGCGCACAUCACGGUCUGACACAAUCGAGAUCGGCACCCCGUGCCGAGAUACCACCUCUCUCACGUAUAUCUCCGCCAAUUUCUCCGCCGAAGAACUCUCACUGAUGGCAAGGAAGUGUGCACUCUUUGUCAACCUAUCCACGAUCACCCAAAUUGCGUCAACUCCCCUAGCAGUCCUCGGCAAUUUGGUGAUAAAAUCCAUAGUGAUCUGUUCCCACUUCCACUCGGGGAUCUCCAAUGGCUGUAACUUGCCAUGCGGUCUCUGGUGCUCAGCCUUAACCCUACGGCAGGUCAAGCACCUCUCAACGAACCAUGCCACGUCCCUCUUCAUACAGGGCCACCAAUAUUCCUUCCUUAAAUCCAAAUACAUCUUUGUAGCACCGGGAUGGAUCGAGAAUUUCGAUCUAUGAGCCUCUUCCAUCAACGUAAUACGCGUACCGCCCACGAACGGUACCCAAAUCCGACCCUGAAACGUCAUAAGGCCUCGACUAUCCUUGACAAACUCUGAGAUUAACCCCACAACCCGCUCUUUCUUCUGCAUUUCUGGUCGCACAGCCUCUGCCUGGGCCCCACGAAUAGCGUCCAAUACUGGAGUCAUCACAGUCAGUCUCAAGCAUACAUCUCGCAAUGGAGUGCUCUCCGCCCUGCGGCUCAAUGCAUCGGCUACCACAUUAGCCUUGCCUGGGUGGUACAGGAUCUCACAAUCAUAAUCCUUGACCACAUCCAACCACCUCCUCUGACGCAUAUUUAGGUUGGGUUGAUCCAUCAAAUACUUCAAACUCUUAUGGUCCGUGUAUAUCGUACAUCGAACCCCAUACAAGUAGUGACGCCAAAUCUUGAGAGCGAACACUACUGCCCCCAACUCUAAAUCAUGCGUGGGAUAUCUCGCCUCAUGAGGCUUCAGCUGCCUCGACGCAUAAGCUAUCACAUGACCCCUCUGCAUCAACACUGCACCCAAUCCCGAAAUCGAUGCGUCGCAAUAUACCACGAAAUCUUCCAUCCCUUCUGGGAGAGCUAAUACCGGGGCUUCGCACAAUCUCUGGCGAAGUGUCUCAAAGGAGGUCUGCUGCUCGGGCCCCCAUGAGAAUGUAACACCCUUCCGGGUCAAUCUGGUGAGUGGCACUGCGAUCUUGGAGAAAUCCUUGAUAAAUCUCCGAUAAUACCCUGCCAACCCAAGGAAACUUCUGAUCUCAGAGGGUGACUUCGGCACCUCCCAACUCAUCACCGCCUCAACCUUGGCCGGAUCGACCAAUAUCCCUUUCUGAUUAACCACAUGUCCUAGAAACUGGACCUCCCGCAACCAGAAGUCACAUUUGGAGAACUUUGCAUAAAGCUUCUCCGACCUCAAUACCUCAAGGACCUCCCUCAAAUGCUCCUCAUGCUGCUCUCUAGAUCUCGAAUACACCAGAAUGUCGUCGAUAAAUACGAUCACUGACCGAUCCAACAUCGGCCUGCAUACCCUGUUCAUGAGAUCCAUGAACACAGCCGGGGCAUUGGUGAGUCCAAAAGGCAUCACCACAAACUCAUAAUGCCCAUAUCGCGUCCUAAACGCUGUCUUCUGGACGUCUUCAUCCCGUACUCUCACCUGAUGGUAUCCUGACCUCAGAUCGAUCUUGGAAAACCAAGAUGCUCCCUGCAACUGAUCGAAUAAAUCAUCGAUCCUCGGCAACGGGUAACGGUUCUUGACCGUUAGCUUGUUCAACUCCCGGUAAUCAAUGCACAUCCGGUGUGAACCAUCCUUCUUCUUGACGAACAGAAUAGGUGCUCCCCAUGGCGAGCUGCUCGGCCGAAUGAAUCCCUUUCCCAGCAACUCCUGGAGUUGCGAGGACAACUCUUGCAUCUCUGGAGGUGCAAGACGAUAGGGCACUUUAGCAAUAGGCGCGGCCCCCGGAACCAGAUCGAUACCAAACUCUACUUGCCUCACAGGAGGUACUCCCGGCAGUUCCUCGGGAAAAACAUCUGAAAACUCACGCACCACAGGGACCUCCUUAACUGACUUCGGUCUCUCGGAAACCUCCCGCGUAUCCAUCACAUACGCCACAAAACCCUUACAGCCCUGCUGUAGACACUGCCUCGCCCUAGCGGCCGAACAAAAAGCUGAUCCCGAACGGGUACCCUCGCCGUACACCGAAAGAACUCCCCCACUAUGGUCUCGUAUGGUCACCAACUGACGCUCACAGUCGAUGACAGCGCCGAAUCGGCUCAACCAGUCCAUGCCCACGAUAACACAGACAUCCCCCAUCGCAAUAGGAAUCAGGUCAAUCGGGAAUUCAACCCCGAAAAUCUCUAGUACACAUCCCCGAAGAACCUCCGUAGCACGAAUCACUUUCUCGUCAGCUAUAGAAACUCUCAAAGGUCGACUCAACGACUCACGACUAACGCCGAUCUGCUGACUAAAGGCUAAGGACACAAAGGACCUACUCGCACCCGAGUCAAAUAACACUAAGGCAGGCACAGAGUUCACAAGGAAAGUACCUACGCGCAUAAUAACAUAAGCAUAACAUAUCGACAUUAAAAUAAAUACAUGAAUUACAACAUACCUGCCACAACAUCGGGCGCAGCGCGGACCUCCUCCGCAGUCAGCUGAAAGGCUCUCCCACGAGCCCUCGGGGCCUCGACCUUCACCGGUCGAGUCUCAGUAGUCCUGGCAGCAGGUGCAGAUCCCUGACGAAGCUGAGGGCACUCGGCCUUCCGAUGGCCGGUCUGGUUGCAAUGAAAGCAAACCGUAAAUCCCUUGGGACACUCCCUAGCAAUGUGCCCCUCCUUGCCACACUUGUAGCAAGCACCGGCUCGACACGCCCCAUCGUGACCCUUGCCGCACUUUACGCAAGUGCGGUUCUUCGAACCUCCCGUCCUCGAAUCGGCGGACUUGAUCCGCUUGGCUGCCGGCUGAGACUGAGCCGGCCGCCGGUCUGCCUGCUGAGACUCGGCCUCCUCCCUGGCCUGAGUCUCUAACUCGAUCUCACGCUUCCUGGCAUUCGCCUGAAGCUCAGUAAAAGUAUGGUAAGUGGAGUUUGACACAAACUCCCGGAUCUCCCUCCUCAGAACACCCAAGUACCGGCUCAUCCGAGCCUGCUCUGUGGCCACCAGCUCGGGGCAAAACAUCGCCCUCUCAUGGAACUUCCGCGUGAUCGCCGCCACCGAAUCAGUACCCUGCUUGAGGGUUAAGAACUCCUGAACCAAUCGUUCCCGCUCCACCGGGGGAACGUACUCCUCCCUGAACAUGGUAGUGAACCCCUCCCAUGUCACUGCCGCAGUCUCUGCCAAAGUGAAGUUCGCCGUCACGAACUUCCACCAGUCCUUCGCUCCCAGACGGAGCUGGUUCAAAGCGAACCGUACCCUCAGGUGCUCCGGGCAUGAACAAGUGUAGAAGCACCCCUCUAUAUCUGCGAUCCACCUCAUCGCAGCAAUCGGAUCCUGCGUCCCAUCGAACUCUGGUGGCUUCGUGUUGCUGAACUCUCGGAACAGCAAUGAAUCACCCCCCUGUGGCCUAGCAGCGGCCACAGCUGCGGUAGCUGCAGCGGUUGCAGCCUCAGUCAAUGCGGCGUACCGCUCGUCGAACGUCUCCAUCAGGGUGGUCUUGAUAGACCCAAACAUCUCCGGGAUCUCAGCCCGGAUCGCCGCCGCCACCUCCUCGUGGAUCAUCUGACGAAUAUCCUCGUCACUCACACCGCUCGUACUUGCCCCGUGCCGCGGUCUAACCAUGAUAUCUCUGAAAUACAACAUAAAACUAUCAGAGAUUCUACCGAGUAUAAUCGUACUCGACACGCAACCCUACUCAGUCCCAGAUAUCCAGGGAUUCUUACUUGGGCCUCCCACUGACCCGGUGUCCUCGGUAGUACGGGCCCAAUACUACCGACCACACCGCAUCAGUGUUCAUCCCAAGUCCUCCUCCCCAAACUCCGGAUAGUGAGUACUCUACUUCUGAUAUGCACUAUCUACCCGCAUACUAGCAAAGCAUCUCAUAUAGGCAAACUUCCCUAGACUAAGGCAUCACAAAUCAGGCCACUCUAGUCCUAUCAUGAAUACCUAGUCUUCUAGCAUGCAUAACAAUUCAUAUCAUAUAAUAUUGUAAGGUAUUUUGGGGAUCUUUACCGUUCGGGCGCUGACUGAUCGUACACACUGCUUCUUUCUUGCUUACCACAAAACCAUUUACAAAAGUUUAUGCCUUUAUUUGAAAAGUUUCCUCAAAUCCUCGGUUUGAGUUCAGUUACCCCCGAAGGUGCACCCGAAUCCCUCAAACCAAGGCUCUGAUACCAAUUGUAACAACUCAAAUUUUUCAAACAAAUUUUUCAUUUUUAAAACAUAAUUAAUUCCAUUUAAAACAAGGCAUAAGUAGUUAAGUAUUCUGUCAAAUACAUUUAUUCAAAAUCCCAAGAUCAUAAAGACAAUCUUCAGUGUGUAUCGAUCAUGCCGGCGCCUUCCCACGGUCCUCGCUAGUACCUGAAAUACAUGCACAACAACUGUAAGCAUAAAUGCUUAGUGAGUUCCCCAAUAUACAACUUACGCACAUACGCCUUUCCAGGCCCGACCUUCCGGUCCAUGUGUCUCAGGGGACUUCCGUCCCUGCUGGGUAAACCUUCCGGCCUUACCCACGCCGACCUUCCGGUCCAUCACACAUCAUAUCGCCUUCCGGCCCAUAACAUAUCGCCUUCCGGCCCAUAAUAUAAUCGCCUUCCGGCCCAUAACAUACAUAGCACACAUAACAAAUAACUUACCACAUAUAGCAUACAUAUCACAUAACAUAUCCGACCUUCCGGUCACACAGUCAAACCCUUCCGGGUACAGUAUAGUGAGAAGACUCACCUCGUAAAUGCUGAAAGCUAGCAACUCUUGAAAUCACUCGUGCACAAUCCGACGAGCUACAACCUUCCUAUAACAUCACAUAUCUCAUUAACACUUAUAACUUCUAAGGGUGACUAUCCCUAAGAAGUCAGACUUAGGUCAACUCUGGUCAACGGUCAACUGUCAGCUCGACCGGACUCGGCGAGUACCAUGACGACUCGGCGAGUCUAGACGUCUUCCAACUUUCUGAGAUUCCUUAUCUACUCGUCGAGUACCCUCCUCGACCCGACGAGUUACUCCUGGAAGAAUCGCGGGGCCACCCCGACUCCACUCGCCGAGUCUGAAGAACAACUCGGCGAGUCCCAGUAAAUCUUCAAGCUACUCGCCGAGUCUGAAGAACAACUCGGCGAGUCCAUGCCAUGCAGACGAGCAACUGCUUCCUGAAUUACGUGUGGUCCCGAGAUAUACAACCAUGGGACUUUCUGGACUUCUAAGCAUCUCAUUACUGGGGGUAUAAACGUUUGGGUAAUAACAUAAUAACCCAUCUAAUCACUAAAUGGGUUUCAUAAACCCUAACUUCAUAAACACAAUAAACAACAGAAGGAAAUCCGAAAUAUUACCUGGAAUAUGCCCUUUCUGUGUUUCCAAACCGCAGAACUCGAAUCCUUUGCUGUUCCUUUAGCCAAAACCUUUCUUCUCUUUGUCCCACAACCUCUUCAAGCCCUAAUAUCCUCCAAUCUUGCUCUAGAUGCCCACAACCGAUUAGGGUUCCUCUCAAUCGACUAAAAACGAACAAUGACGGCACAUAAGAGCAUUAUAUACGAUCCCAAACCGAACGGUUAGGGUUUCUGCUGAACAGCGUCGACUCGCCGAGUCCGUACUUGGACUCGUCGAGUCCAGUCGCGAUCCCGCGACCAAGUCUGCGAUCCUACUCGGCGAGUCUAGGCUCCAACUCGCCGAGUCCCCUCUUAAAUCACCCAAAAACAUAAUUUAAACAAUACCUGAGAUUUCGGGCUGUUACAAGUUUGCUUUUGACAUUUAGGACCAUGCAUGUAUGUAAAGUUUGCAACUUUACAUGGAAACCAUGCCCUAGGAGGUUAGAUCUGUAAUUUGGAGCUUUGGGUAGCUUAAAAACGUGUGAAUGAGAAAUGGAAUGAAGGGACUCGACGAGUUGCAUGGUCAACUCGACAAGUCGGAUGAAGAUUGGCCGUUGUGGUUUUCUGCAUGGAGUCGACGAUUCAGUUAGGGUUUUCCCUACAUUUGGACACACAUGGACUCAACGAGUUAUCUGGAAACUCGGCGAGUCGACUAAGGUUUUCACAAUUUCCUGUGUUCUGGAAGGACUGGACGAGUCGGUGAGCUGUACUCAACGACUUAGGUCAACAUGGACUGUUGACCUUGACCGUUGACUUUGGCUUUGACCAAGGGUUGACCAGUUUGACUUAUGGGGGUAUUUUAGGAAAUUGGGAAAUGAUGGAAGUGGUCCUUUGGUGAAUAUAGGUGGUGGAGUUCGUGGUUGUGAUUAGAGAGUUUGAUCUUAUCACUACAGUUCGACAUUUGUGAGGUGAGUUUUCCUCGCUAUACUUAAGGGUCGAAGGCACCAAGGCCGACCCUUUUUGGAUUGUUAUCCUGAUAUGUUAUAUGAUCAAGUAUCAUAUGAUCUGUUAGAUCAGUAUCCUGGUAGAUUGGUUUUUAUUAUGCUAUUAUGAUAUGUCAGAUCUAUAUCCUGAUAGAUAGGAUGUUAUUUAUGCGAUUAUGAUCUGUUAGAUCGGUAUCCUAGUAGAUAGGAUGUUAUUAUGCUAUUAUCAUAUGUUAGAUCAGUAUCCUGGUAGAUAGGAUGUUAUCAUCUUCUUAUGAUCUGUUAGAUCGGUUUGUCUGUCUAUAGAUUGUUAUGUGGUUAUCUGAUAUAUGUGAACAUGUUUGAUUAGUGGUUAAUGGUUAUCUGCUUUUUGCCGGGGCCAAUAGACAUGGGCAUUCCAACCCAAUGGUUGUGAGCUGUAAGUAUUCCAUCCCGGGGUUGAUUGGAAUCGUAGUAUGUGGGCAUUCCAACUCGAUGGUUGUGGGCCGAGGGUAUUCCAUACCGAGGAUGACUGGACCCAUAGUAUGUUGGCAUUCCAUCCCGAUGGUUGUGGGACUGGGGUAUUCCAACCCGAUGGUGGAUUGGACCCAUAGUAUGUGGUUUGUGAUUAUGUGUAUAUUGUUAUGUGUAAGUGUACUUUAGGGAAAACUCACUAAGCUUCAGGCUUACAAUUUUGGAUUUUGUUUCAGGUACUCCAGAUGACCACGGGAAGGCAAAGACGUGAUCGUACAGAUCCUUACAUUUUUAUGAUAUAGAUUUCUAGGAUACUCUGAUGUUUAAACUAUUUUGAAAACACUUUGUAAUAACUUAAUGGUUUUGAACGGAUGAAAUUUUUUAAAUUGGUUUGAUUUUUAAGGGUGUUACAUCUGUAUUGCUACUCUUAGAUCUAUAAAUCAUGGGAUCCCCGACCCUAGUCCUUGACCCAACCGUCACUUCCAGGUCUCACCUGCACUACUAUAUGCACACGGGCCUCGCUCACAGGUCCCACCCAAACUGUAUUAUGGAGCGGCCUUGCCUACUGGUCACACCAAUCUAGGGCUACACAGGCCUAGGUCCACCUCAAAUUCCGAAUACCUAUCCUUUCCUGAUUCCAAUCAUGCGGUGGCCUGUCCACAAUCUUGCGAACUGACGCACCCUAGUCUAACCUAUUUGAGUGAAUCGGUGAAUGCUACCGCUCAUUCCGCUGUCUAAUAACACUUUCUCACCCUAUCUGACCGCAUGGAGAAUGCUUCGGCUGCCCUGCAGUCAUACAACACUUCCAUGUUAUCUGGCAGGUAGUGAAUGCUAUGACUAUCUGGCAGUCUUACAACACUUCCCACGCUAACUCAACCGCUGACCAUGGUCUUACCGCUGAUUACCGAUCUGAACAUGUCCAAAGUCGAGCACUCACGCAGUCUAGCAUCCUGACUGAACUCGCGUCCUGAUGGGAAUUCUCAACCUGAUUCCCCAACACCAGCUAUCAACACAAAGAAGACGUGAACCCAACGUUGGGAAGUUUCUCAACUCCCAAGUCACACGCUCCUCGAUCCAAAAAGCCACUUGGGCCAUCCUCCUCCCCAAUGGGAAUGCGAACUCACCCUAGUUUUGCAUCUACUUCUGUUCUUGGAUACUUGAAUGAUUCUCCCCCACUUUGAUUCAACUAACAUCUUACAACACACAAUACUAGAAGGAUUGCCAAUCCUUCUUACCAUUCAAUGAUCAACCUGAUGGAUACCAACGCUUACCAUUGUUCGUGUUCCCAAAAUUAAACAACACUAAAGCAGUGCGACUCUUGGAGAAUAAUGGAACACCUCCCAAGAUCCAAUCACACUUGCUACAGCUACCGCAUCCUGAGAACCCACUAUAUAAUGAGACGACCUCACACUACUACUCAAAGACUCAUGGUAUGCAGAUGGCAUAUAACCCAAACAUAAGCAGGAAGUAUAACUCUAAGGUACAAUUACUCAUAUAGAUGCAAGACAGUAGCAAUAAAAUCAUAAAUAAAAACUUAUAGGAAAGUAAAGGAUACGCACCUGCAACAUCAGAAGCUACCUGUGAUAUCACGCCUUCAUCAUCUCCUCAUCCGCUACAUACUGCAGAACAAGAAGGACCCUCUCCCUGAACCUGGCGGUGAUCUCCGCCACCGUCUCCAUAGUCUGUUAGAGGUCCUGAAACUCUCGUGCUAACUGCUGCACCUCAAUCACUUGUACAAACUUUGCCCUGAACCUGGACAAGAAGUCACUCCACGUCAUCACAUCAAUAGCGGCAUCAUCUCUAAUAGCAUGUCCAACCUCCUCCCACCAAUCACAUGCUCUGUCCUUCAGAAGACAGGAAGCGAGUCGGACCUUGUCCCCCUCAUGACACCGGCUAGUACAAAAAGCGUUGGCGACAUCUGCCAAACUCCGACUGCUCGAAAUGGGGUCCUUAGCCCCAUGAUAGUCUAGAGCUCCAUAAGCUCUGAACUCUCGGAAUGUCAUCGUGUGUGCCCCUAGCAUGGCCGCCCUCUCGGUGCGGAAAGGACCUAACCUCUCAUCAAGUAUCUCCAAGAUACCCUCCUUGACCGUACCGAAUAUCACAUGAGUCUGUUCCAUCAUACUACGCAUAAUCUCAGCUGAAAUAAACUCUUUCAUUUGCUCAUCGAGCUGCCCGACUCCAGAGCCCGAGCCUGACCCCUCAUCUCAACUGAAAUAAUAUGAUGUCCUGAUUAGAACCGCCAACUGCUCUAGUAUGUAGCGUCACCAUGUUGCAACAUAACAUAACAACCAUCAGAAUACUUAUCACUAUCGAGGGAUUACACACGCACUACAAGUUUCCUAGUUUUAUCUCAACCCUCAUUGACUCGAGUAUGGAUCCUCUACUUUCAGUAGUACGGGCCCACACUACCUUCCACAUUCAUCCGUACUUUCCUCAAGAAUUGCCUUGACUCCACCAAGUCCCUUCUACUGCUACUACGAUUCUCAUGCUAAUAUCAUCCUAGGCUUGCCCAAGAUAAUUACCAACCCACUCUCCACCAUUAGCUGCAUAAGAAGUCCCUACUAUCUCCCCCUAACUAGCUCGCGAAUACCAUUACAUGUCACUAAGAAUAGAUAAUUCUUCGAAUGAGAGAUCCUAUCCUACAACAGUUGGACUCAAACAAGAGUUGUGAAAUAGAGCUAGACCUAACUUCUGAAAUUAUUUAGUCCUUGCAAUAUGUAACUUAACAUAUUCGUUUACUAGAUAGUAAAAGAUAACUAGAACUCCUAAAAGCACAAAGCAUGCAGCAUUCGAGCAUUGAGUAAACAUAAUCAAGCAUAUUCUAAUCAGGACAUCAUAUUAUUCACUUAUCUGUACUAGCAUGUAGUUCAUAAAGAUGAUAUACAUAUAACAAGAACAUAAGGAAUCCUUCCUAGAUCCUUAGCCCUAAUCUAGCAUGCAGUUCUCAUAAACAUAUCAUAACAUAAACUUGUAUGGGUAAUUUUGGAGUACUUACUUGAGCUCGGCUAAUUGCAUGCACCACACCGUUUUCUAUUUCCAAAAUUCUUUUCUCUUUUCAAAAUUCUUUUCUUUUCCAAAGUUCUUUUUAUAAAAAUGAUUUUUCUUUAGAAAAUUUUCAUACCUAGUCCUCAGUUUGAAUCCAGACACACCCGAGAGUGUGCCCGAAUCCCUCAAACCAAGGAUCUGAUACCAACUAGAAACAUCCCAAAAAUACGCUCCAAAAUUUCAUUUUAAAUCAUUAAUAAAACCAUAGUUAACAAUUCAUCUCAUAAAAAUCAUAAGUCAUGUAUCUCAAGAUAUCAUAAACAUCUGUCAAAACAUAUCAGAGUAAAAACAUCCCAGGCUAAACAAUGGUAUGUGCACUGCAGUCAUCUUGGGCUCUUCCCCUUCUACCGGAAGUACUUGAAACCAAAACAUAAAACUGUAAGCACGAAGCUUAGUGAGUCUCCCCAAACUACCACAUACCAUAUACAUAAUCACAUAUACUGGGCCCCCGCCCCUUCCUCGGGCCCCGCCCAUCAUCAGAAAAUGUUAGAUAUCAGUCCCCGGUAGGCAUCGAGCCCCGCUCAGUAUACAGAUAUGUUUCUUCUAGGCCCUGACUGUCUUUGGGCCCCGACGACUAUACACAUACAGACAAUAACAUAUAAUCAUUCUAGCACAUAACGAAUCAUACACAGUACUAUAUAUUCUAGUCCUAAGGCCUUGCCUAUAUAAACAUUCCUCGAGUCCCGCCCGGCAUCACACCAAAAUCCAGAAGCAUACAAACAUUCCUCAAGCUUUCCCCGGCAUCCGAUCGAAGUCCGAAAACAUAUAAAACAAGCACAUGUAACAAUCAUGAAGACAUCUAGCAUAUAAACAUUCCUCAGGAACCUCCCGACAACGGAAUGGAAUCUAGAAACAUAUCAACCUACAUCAGCCAUUGCCCAACAUCGGACCUUAGUCCAGAACAUACUAACAUACAUAAAUGGGCUGGCAUUGAUGCCUUCGAACCAUUCCUAUAGGAGAAAACUCACCUUGCAAAGAUGAAUCUAGAAUCCCAUGGAUAAACCUCUGGCUACUAGCUGGCAGAUCCCUUAACUACUGAUCUCUCGACGCCCCGAGCUAUUGAUCAUCAUACAAAUUAAAUAAAUCCAGGAUACUCAUAACUUAACCAUAAGUCCUCAUUGGGGUAAAAGACCAUUCUACCGCUCACAAAAUCUUGUCCCAAAAUGAACUCUACCUAGACCUUCACCCAAAACAUAAAUACUUCCACAAGGCCCAAUAAUCCUUCUUGGGGUAAAAUUACCAUUUUACCCCUGAUCUAAUUUGGUCCAUGACCUAGGCCCAAAUCCAUAACAUGAAGAGACCAAUUCCAUAUAGUCUUUCCAGGCCCACUUAUGGCCCAAUUAUCUCAAUUGGGCCCAACUUCUCAAAUGGGCCUUCCCUCAAGCCCAACAUAUAAUAUAAUCGAUUAACAAUCCAAAAGAAUAGUCCAUCAAGGCCCAUAGUCACAUCGUCCAAGGAAAUUGCCCAAAGAGGCCCACUGAUGCCACAAAUACUGGGCAUUCCCUUAUGGAACACUGGGCAUUCCUCUUUGGUUCAGAUGGUGACCCCAAUGGGAAAGCAGCGCGUUCUCGACCCUUACGCAGGGCAUUCGCGCCCAAUCUCCAAAACCGGCCAUUAAGCACUUAAUUCUUAAUCCAUGCUAUCCAAACAUAGAUCCAAGCUAUCUAGGACAUUUAGAAUCAUAAAGUCAUGAACUUGGUGACUUUGCAUGCCCUCAAAAGUCCCAACCUCAAGAAAUAACAAUCAACUUCCACAAAAGAAGCAACUCAAGCUUCUGGAGUGAUUAUAACCACAAGCUUUCAACCAUGGGACCAAAAAAAGGAAAAAUAUCCAUGAGAACCCUGAUCAAUGAUGUAGAAGCACCAAGAUACGAACUUUAUACCUUCAAUACGCUAGAAAUGAUGUAAAACCUCUGGAUCUACAAGCUCUCUCAAACCAUUGCUUCUUCUCUAAACAUUUUCUUCUUCAAAUUCACCCAAAUAACACCAAGAUUCUUAAGGUAAGCUCGAAAUGCAUGCAAGAGGCUUAGGGUUUUGUUCUUAGGGGUAGAUAGGAUGGAGGCUGAAGGAAAUGAGGGUUGGAGGUGAGUUAAGGUGUUUAAAUGGUAUUUAAAACCCAAAAACUAGGGUUUAGUUUGCCCAGAUGAAUGCAACGUGUUCCCUUAGGGAACGCAAGGCGUUCCCAUAUGCACCGGUGUCCAUUUUUCUUUGAACUUCACACAUUCUUACUUGGUACACCAUGCGUACUCGGUUUGACCCAAAACCCCCUCUAACAUCAAAUGGCUAUAACUUCUUCGUUAUAGCUCUGAUUUUGACGUUAUUUAUAUCCAAAUAAAGGUAACAAGAAAUCCUACACUUCUAUCAACUUUAUUUAGACUGAAACUCACCAAACUAAAACCCAAAAUUCAUAAAAAGGCCCAAACCAACGCCUUUACCGAUACCCUUGGGCUCCAAAACACAAACCGGGUAAUUGGAUUAUCCAAACUACAUCAUCCACCUCCAAAUGAUGCCUAAAUUCGAUUAUUCAAAGGUUCUAAAUCAGCUAAUACCCAAUCCUUGCUCACCAUCCCGCAAUGGGAAUGAUUCAAAAUAGGGUGUUACAUUAUGUAAUUUCUCAUAGCAAGUACUUUUCCAGUUUGUUCAGUUCUAUUUAUUUCCUACUCUUCUCAAUACAUCGAAAAACAUUUCACCCUAUUUGUCUUGAUUGAUUGUAUCUCUAAUAAAUAUUUAUACUUUACAACAUGCAAGUAAUGUUCAAUAUACUGAAAUCGUUCUCCAGUUAUCCCUAUUUUCCUGAAUUGAUUAACAAGCUUUGUUAAGCAUUAUGAUGGAGGACAUACACAAUAACUGGAAAUGCAACUUUUGAUCGUUUUUUGUCGGUAGAAAAUGUACAUGUGCUUUCAGGAAUGGGAAUGGCCNUAUAUAUAUAUAUAUUAAAUCUAUAUGGACCGUAGGAACAGUAAUAUUUGUGUUUAACAUAUUUGGCACUUGUAUUUUUGUCACUCAUCUAGAUUAGGCCCCUCAACAAAGUGAACACAUCACUGUUGCAGAGGAAUGGACACGUUUCAGUUCAGCACACAUGGUCUCUUUCUUGAAACAAUUCGUGUCCUUCGCAACACUAUGACUCUGUCACACUUCUUAUCCACUGCCUUAUCUCAUGCAUCUUUUUUUUUCGGUCACCACUUCGAUUAAAAUUGCAUCAUCAGAACCAUAGCUCGGCUUGCCAGAUUUUGUUCUAGAUUAUGGUUAGUCGUCUACUUCAUCACCGCCUCCACCAAGCGAAUCGAUUGUGUUUCUUUUAAUAGGUUUGUGUUUCUUUCUCUAAACUUCUCUCUCACGGAUUAUGAACAGUUCAACUUAUGGCUUAACUACCCAUACGUGUUUCUUUCCUGUAGGAUUUACCCACUAUGCCGCCAUCAUCAACCCCACACUGCAUAUCCCUUUCUUUUGGACUGAAGCUUCAGUAUCUCCAUUAAACGAUUGAAGCUUCACCCUCGCCCCAAUAGACUAACAGUUUUUGCUGGUUGUCAUGUUGAUUGGCGUCGCUAGGAGUAUUCAAUAGUAACAAAAAAUUAGUUGCGCUUUGGUUGUAUAUUCUCUUUAAUCUUUUAAUCUGUAUUCAAUAUGUAAUUUCUAAAAUUCUGAUUUUUGUGAAGAGAGAGAGAGAGAGAGAGAGAGAGAGAGAGGAAUUUUGGGUCACUAGGGAAGGAAUUGGGCUUAGAUGAUUGUACUCUUUGAUUUAUUUGUGUAUAAUCCUAAUUUAGGGUUAAUUGUAUCAUUGUUCAGUAUGUGGGUUCGGACUGUUUAGCAAGCUACUUUCAUGUUCAGCAUAUUGAGGUGAGUCUUCUCACCACACUCAUGGGUUGAAGGCACCAAGUCCGACCCAUUAAUUGAUAUGAGAUGAUUAGUAGUGCAGUAGUAAAUGUUGGUAUUUGAUUUAUAUGUGGAUUUAUGUGAAGACCAUGGGAGGAGCCUAUGACACAUGAUAAGAUCAUAGGAGGAGCCCAUGGCCCGAGGAUACAAGACCAUGGGGGUACCCCAUGACAUUCUAAAUGAAGACCACGGAGGGAGUCUGUGGCAAUCUUAUAUGUGUAUAUGUGUGCAUGGUAUUAUGUGAUUAUAUAAUUCGUGUAUUUUGGGAAAACACACUAAGCUUGUGCUUAUAGUUUUAAUUAAUGUUUCAAGUACUUCUAUUGAUAAGAACAAGGGCCCACCUUGAUGGCGCGACAUGCAUUCUCCAGCGUUUUGAUAUUUAGUUUUCGUACUUUGAACCCUAAAAUAAUAUUGCUAUGUAAUGGGAUUUUUGGAUACUUUGUGGUUGAUAUUUAUGAAAUUAAAAGUUAAAAUUUUUUUAUAAAAAUGGAGUUGUUACAAUUUAAACAUAAAUAUUAAUUAAAAACACAUUACAUUAGCUAAAAACACACAAAUUUGAAUCCUAAAUUACUUAAAAUCACAAAAAUUUAAAACUUAACUUACUAAAAACACAAAAUAACAUAGAAUAUGCUACUCAUCGUCGUUGUCGUCAUUGUUGUUCCCGACCUCAUUCUCCUCGUCGUCAUUAUUGUGUUGUUGGGAUUGCCUUUGCCAUAUGUGUUUAGUCAAAUAGUGGCUUAUGUUGUGAUGUGUUUCACUUCUUUGUAUUUCCAAUAGUAUUGGGAAGUAUGUGGCACUGUCGAAUUGUAUUACUGCAAGUAGAUUAAGUAUGUCAUUCAAACAAUGCAUACAACUUGCCCUACCUUAUUCUUCUAUUAUCAUGUUAUGUAAAAUAACACAAGUUGUCAACACCUUCAUCAAUUUUACCUUACCCCAUGCUCAUGUUGGAUGUCUGAUUAUGAGCCAAUUUUAUGUGAGGACCCCAAACACCCGUUUCGCAUCCUUCCUUGCCGAAUCUUGUUCUACGUUGAACAAUUUUUGCUUUUCAUCUGUCGGAUAUGAGUAUGAAUUGAAAAAUGUAGCAUACUCUAGAUAUAUCCCAUCACCAAGGUAAUACACAUAAUUAUAUUGAUGUCCAUUCACAAUGUAUGUGUGUUUGGUGCUUUAGGCUACAAAAUGUUGUUAAAUAGCAGAGACAAUCCAAGCACAUUCAGGUCGUUGUUUGACCCCGCUAUAUCAAAGAAUGCAUGGCAAAACCAUAGGUCAUGUGAAACAACUGUCUCUAGUAUAAUAGUAAGAAUGUCAUGAUCAGCUCAUGUGAAUUAACUUGACCAUGCAUUGGGAAAAUUCUCCAACUCCUAAUGUGUACAAUCAAGGCUACCAAGCAUUCCUGGAAAACCAUGUUUAGCUUCAUGAGCAAAAUACAACUAAUCGACGUUACUCCUAGUCAGAUGUCACAAGUAUAUGUCACUUUAAAGCUCUAUAACAUACUCUCAAAAAAGAUAGGCCCAUUCUCGAAUCGUGCACUCAGACAUUUUCAAAUACUCGUCAGAUACGUCUACGGCUAUGUCGUAUGCCAAUUGUCUAAGAGCCAAUGUGCAUUUUUGUAUUGUAUAAAAACCACAUUUACAUCUAGUAUCCCAUCUCAAUUGAAAAAACUCAUAAUUGUUGGUCAAAUCUAUAGCUAUACGAAAAUGAUCUUCAAAUUUCGAUAGGUCGUAUAAACAAUUUGAUGCAAAGUAAGAACGUAACAAAAGUUCAAGUGUCGUGAUACGAUCUCAGUUGAUCGUAAUUCUACACUUCUUCUCAAUAUUUGAAAUUUCGCUUCUUUGAUGCACCAUGUCGUGAGUGAUCUACGGACAACGUGUGCAAAAACAAGUCAUCAUUAGAGUCAUCAUCAUCAAAUGAACAAGAUGAUAUUGAAUCCAUAAAUUAUUUAUAUUGUUUGAAAGUGUGUUUGUUGUUGGAUGUAAAAAUAUAUGUAAAGUGUGUGUGUGUGUGUGUGUGUAUACACACAUAGAGAGAGAGUUUUAAAAUUGAAUAAACUUUUUUAGUUGUGUUGGGUUUUGAGCAUUCUAACACUCCUAAGGUGUACAUGCAACCCUAAUAACCUUGGAUCUAUGUUUUCUCUAAGAUACAUGCAAAUAAUAAUUUCCAAGGUUUCCUCCUAACUAGCAUAACAUAAGGAUCUUGAAUCAUAAAUCUACUAGUAGAAAGACAUACCUUUUGAUAGUGAUUGAUUGCUUGGAGUUUGGGAGCCUAGCACCAAUAAUUUGAAUGCCUCAAGUGGAAUCACAAAUCAAUACAAACUUGGAAAACUUAUGAAACUGUAUACUUUGCUUCAAGAAAUUGGCCACACCUUUUUCACACACACUAGGGGCCUAUUUCAUGCAACAUAAGCUUGUUUAUAUAGUGUGCAUGAUUAGGGUAAAACCCUAAUAACCCAUGUCUUUCCCUUUCCAAGGAUCCAUGGGUUAAAAGCUCCAUGGAUCAUCCAUGGACUUCCAUAUAAGCUUAGCCCAUUUCCAAAUGAUUGUUAUCCCACACUAUAUUAAUAUAAUAGCCCAUGAUUUAAUUAGUCUUCCCUUUAAUCACUAAAUUAAUUCAUAAUUAAUUUAAGACUAAAACUAAUUAAAUAACAUGACUUCAUAUUAAUAUAUUAUAACUUAUAAUAUACUAAUAAACCAUAAGUAUACAAUCCUCAUAAUAUUAUCCAUAAAUCGUUUGGGUGAAGUGCAACCCAAAUGGACCAUGCCGGGUCGGGUCAAGUAUAUACCAAAUAAGUUAUGGACUUAGAAACCUUAUCCAACAGUCUCCCACUUGGAUAACUCUAAUAACUGUAUUUACGUAUGUUACUUCAGGAACCAACCAGCAAUCAUAGCUCUCGAAAACUCUGUUGAACUAUGAAGCGCCAUUUUAGAUAAGUGAUCAUAUAAUCCUAUGUUCUCAUGAUAUCAGCCGGACAAAUACAUGGAACAACGUCGUACUUAUUGUCCAGCAGUUUGUUUCCCGAUUUUCGAUUUGUUUGACAAAGAACUUAAUCGAACACAUCAAUUUAGUUCUGACCGGCCGGUACAUAGGUCACAACAAAAUCAUCGAGGGGCCCAGAUAUCGCUUCUAUUUCUAGAAGGAACAGAUAAACUUCGACUCAUAUGCUUGUUCUACUACUUGUUGAAUUGUACACAAAGGCACGUUUUAUAACAUCAAGUUACUGAUGCGUUUACGUGCAAUCAAUGCACAACCAACUCAUAGGCAACAACUCAUAUCUCUAGGUUUGAAGACUUAUAUGAUAUUACCGUCUCACGAUCACUCAAGAUAAAUUCCAUGAACUGAUACAAGUGAGCGUAGGUUAAUUCCAAUACUCAUAACUUAUGAGUACUCAUGAAUGUUGUAGCAACCAUUUCUAUGACUAAACACAUUUACCCAUCUACAAAAUCGAUUCAUGACAGUCUUAAUUCAUACCUAUUUCCAACAUAUGAAUGACUGUGGAGUGUUUAAAUAACUUAGUCAUUCAGAAAGAAUAACCUAGCUAUUUAGGAAGUCAAAACAUGCAAAGUGAAACACAAUAAUAAUCGAAUCCAAUAUGGUCUCAGAACCCUUUUGAAUAUAAAUAGAACCACCUUUUAUUUAUCACCAUAUUGAUUACACAUUAUUCAUUGUAUAAUGUUUCAAAUAAUCAACUUAAGACUUGAAUAAAAACAACAGUCGUCCCAUGCUCCUAGCAUGUACACUUUGUUUUUCUAAACAAUAGUUAUGCCAUACUCCAAGUAUGCACACUAUGUUUGUCUAUGAUCUUUACUUUGUGAAAUAGAUCAAUUGAACAUGAUUUCAAUGAUACUCAUUUCACAAUCCCAAAUCCUUAUUGUAAAUGUAAGAAUUCCUAAUUCCUACCAUUUACCAAAAAUCUGUUAGAUUUUAAACUUAUAUACACUGAUCCUCUCGUAAUGAUUAUGCACAAGGUCACCAAAACCUUAUCAUCAGUCAUUACAGAGGAUUCCAAAGGAGAUCAACUUUAUGGAAACGAAGUCUCAUAUCCAAAGUACAUUGCUUUGAACAUCGUUCUUACGCUAAGGUUUUCUAAUCUUACACAGAUUGAACAACUUCCACCUAUGGAGACAUUUCCAUAUUCCCAUUUUGACUAUCACUUCCGAACAAAAGUUACCUCUUUUCAGAAUAUGUCAAUAUGGUCCUUUCCAACAAUUUACAUCAUACUUCCAACUGUCCCUGAGCAAUCAAUCUUUGGCGAACCUUAGAUUGUCCUCGACAAUUGCUUAAUCACUUUAGUCAUAUCCAGUUCUAGACUUUUCCUUUCUCAAUGCCCUGAGCAUUUGGAAAAUCUAGAAAGGAUAAAUAUUAUAGCACAUGUAAUCGAUCCUAUAUCCGAAGCAUAUGGGACACGAUUGAUGAUGUCUCACAUAAAGAC